AAAAGAUUAUUGUUAGCAGGAAAUGGUGAUUUACCAAGUUCAGCCGUGCUGAUUAUCUAAGGUGGAAGUCAGAGAACAGGAUUGUCCCAGAUGGUGUGAAUGCCAAGCUCUUCGGAUGUCAUGGUCCUUUGGCUGAUCGUCAACCUGGAAGAGCUUUCCUGGAAGCAACAAUCUAAGAUAUUUGCUGCCUCAAAAUAACUGAGCCAUGUCUAGUUUAUUAUUUUCCAUUUCGUACCUUUUCUCAGUUGAACUGGAUUUCUCAAGUUGAAGUGACAUGUUUCUUUGGUUUAACUAUGUGAUCCUUGCAGUUGCCUUAGUGAAUUUUCAAUUUGCACUCUUAAAAAAAAAGAAAUAAAUCUCAUUGUUGAAAUAGAGUUUAAUAAUAAAAAUUAGAGAAUGGGAUUUACACAAUAAAUUUUAAUUAAGGACAUUUUUGUCAUUGAUGGAGGUGUUAAAAGAAUUUUAUAAUUUUUUAAAAUAUUUUAAUGGGAUUGAUUAAGAAAAUGGUGUUAAGAGAUAUUUAGAGGGGUGCUAAUAGUCCCACUCAUUAUGAAUUCUGAGCUGUUUUUGUAAGAGGUUAAAAUGGCACAUUAGUGGAGAAUAUUAGGGCCUGUUCGGUAACAUUUUAUGGGCCCUGUUUUCAUUUUCCUUUUAUGAAUUUAAGUUAAUGCGCGAUCGAUGGGCGAAAUUCAAAAAACAAAUAAUUCAUAUCUUCUUUUAUAGUUAUAAAUUUGAGAACGUAUUUCGGCCACGUGAUAACAAAAGCCAGCUGGUUGGAGUAGAAUCAAGAGUUGAGGAAAUUGAAUCUCUACUAAGUGUUGAGUCGAAAGAUGUUUACGCUGUAGGGAUUUGGGGCAUUGGUGUUAUAGGCAAAACAACAAUCGCUAGAGAUUGUUCAAGGUGUUCCUUUAGCUCUUAAAGUUUUGGGGUGCUUUCUAUAUGAAAGGAAAAAAUAAGUCUGGGAAAGUGCAAUAAAUAAAUUGCAAAGAAUCCUCCAUCCAAGUAUUCUAGAGGUAUUAAAAAUAAGUUAUGAUGGUUUGGAUAAUAAAGAGAAAUAUUUUCCUUGAUGUUGCUUGUUUCUUUCAAGGUGAGGAUGUAAAUCUAGUAAUGAAAUUCCUUACUGCAGGCAGCUUCUACCCAAAAAUAGGAAUAAGUGUUCUCGUUGAUAAGUCUCUUAUUGUCAUAUCAAAUAACAACAAGAUAACUAUGCAUGAUUUGCUACAAGAAUUGGGUAGGGAUAUUGUCAGUCAAGAAUCAAAUGAUCCUGGAAGCCGCAGUUGAUUGUGCAUCAUGAGUGACAACUUGCUGUGGAUUAUUACUUUGGAAUAUUCUAGCAUUUACAAACUUGAUAUGGAUAUAUUUAUAUACUCUCGAAUUGCUGAAUCUAGAAUUAACAGAAGAGUGACAAUGAUUAGAAAAAAACAAUAGUGGUUAUAAAUGCCGUGACAACUGUUAUAAAUGCCGUGACAACUUGUAUAAUUAAAUUCUUUGUAAGGAUAGUUUAUUUGUCAAUUUGUUUUGUAUCCCACAUGCGUAAAUUCCAUGUUUAGUAUUACUUGUAUUAUUAUGUUCCUUUGUGCGUUUGCAAUUAAGAGUUUCACGGCCUAGCAAUAACUAUAUAAACAUGAAUUACUGAAAUUUGACUCGACCAAUGAUAAAAAAUUCCACUCCAAUCCCACCUCAAUUCCACGCAAGAGUAAAAAAAAAGAUUGAAUUAAUAACUAAGUUACCCCUUGUUGUGAAUCAAUGCCAAACAUGCCCCAAAAAUUUGUCUUGGUGGGGUUGAGGUGCAAUUCAUUGGUGGGAUAUAAAUAUCGUUUUUCAUUUUUUAUUGAUUAUUAGGGGACUGAAAAAGUUGAGGGCAUCUGUUUGAAUAUGUUCAAAGUGAAAGAGAUCCAUCUAAAUCCCAAUACAUUCACAAAGAUGCGGAAAUUGAGAUUUUUAAAAUUCUAUAGCUCAUCAUUCAAUGGAGAGAACAAAUGUAAGGUGUCUUAUUUGCAAGACCCUAGAUUUACUGAAGUGAAGUAUCUCCACUAGCAUGGAUAUCCAUUGAAGUCAUUGCCUUCAAGCAUCAGUGCAGAGAAGCUUGUGUUUCUUGAAAUGCCUAAUAGCAGCAUUGAACAACUUUGGGAUGGUAUGAAGGUAUGUAUAACUUAAUACAUUAUGUGUGGAAUCUUUCAAUAAUAACGUUAAAUUAUCAUACAUGGUAAUGAUUCUUCUUGGCCUCUUUUUUGACCAAGCAGCAUCGUGGUAAGUUAAACCAGACAAUCCAUGCUGCCUGCAAGAUGCUAAUUGCCAAAACUUCAAACCCCACGUUGAUUCCACAUCUAAACAAGCUAGUUAUCUUGAAUCUAAGAGGUAGCAAAAGCCUGAAAAGUCUUCCAGCUGGAAUAUAUAUAAAGUAUGUUCAAAAGAACAAUCGAUUUGCGGUAUUAUCAAUGUUCAAUUUCUUAAAAUAAAGAUUACACAAAUUGUUAAAUUCGUUUGGUGGUAAGCAUAAAAAAUCCACGGAUCUUUGCUUUCUUCAAGAUAUUUCCUGCUGGUUUUACACCCCAUCAAUCAAUCAUGCAGCUAGUUUUCAUGUGAAGAAUAUGCAGGGAAAGUAUUUAGACAAUUCUGGUAUGAAACUCGGUUCAUUACAAGUUGAGGCCGAAUUGUUAAAAUUCAAAUCAGGAGCUAUUCGUUAAAUCGCCUCAAGGGAUAUGAAAGUUCAAAAGUGAGUUUGUUGCUGAUUACACUACAUACACUACAUAUAUGCUUGAUAGGCAUGUCUUCAAGCUUCAAAGAAUUGAUGAAGUUGGAUUUUUGUUUCCUUCAUAUUUUAUCCGUUUUGUGCCCAUGUUAAAAUAUUGCAAGAAUAAUUCUAAGAAGGGAGCAAAGCAGAGUCAAGCUCGAGAUUUGUUUGAUGAAGUACUAAUGAAAUAAUGCAGAGCACAAUCUCAGGUGCACUUGUUCUAAUACCUCAGUUUUAUAUUUAUCCUUUAAAUCCACUCUUGGAACAAAACAUGCAUGCAAUAAUUUUCGAGGGGCGCGGUGCAUGUAACACAAAUUCACACUAGAGUACCGAAAGCACGUAUUUAGCAUUGUAAAAUUACUGGCCUUCUUUUCCUGCAGAUUUAAUCUACUUGGCGUGUUAUUUUUUUUCCUUUUUUUUUUUUGAAUGCUAGUGUUUCAUUCAUGAUAUUUCUGAAUUUUUAUCCAUGAUUUUUUAACUUUAUUUUUAUUGAUUCAUGAUAUAUUUUAAAAAAUAUAUUUGUAAGAGUUCUUUCGUGAAAGCAGAGCUAAACCAAGAGGGAAACCUAUGGAUGGCCGAUUUGAUGAUGACGCUUCUUCAUCAUUCCCCAUUAUUUUACUUCUCGCUACGUAUGUAGUACUCUAUGCUACCUUUCUUGCUUCCUUCAAGUGUACAUUUAAUUGAACACAAUCGUAUUAGUAGUAUUAUAGGAAUUUAUAUUUACAAAACUGGCUUGUAAGGAAAGGAUUGAAGAUGCCUGUGAACUUACGUUUCUAUUUAGAUUAUUGUAUCUUUUUCAUGUAUAAAAUUGGAUCUUAUCAUCUUAUUUGCAUAGAUGGAUAGUAAAAUGUUCCUCAGCGUUCCCCUGCAGCACCAAUAUAUACACAUCAUAGAGUUUUUUAAUUUUUGACUCUAGUGUUUUAGGAUAAUGAACGAAGGACUGAAUAGAGAGAAGAGAAAAUACCUUUGUUUCACAUCCUCAAAGAUUCAAGGCUCACCAAGUCUCAAAGCCUGUUUUAUGGCAAGACCAGAAGCCAAGCGUGCCAGGAUCUGCUCGACCAAGCGAAGGCGAGCAGACCCUCAAGUGUUAUAAAAAUUCCUAAGGCAUGCAAAGGCUCACUAGAAGCCAAGCAUGCCAGGAUCUGCUCGACCUGCCAUUCUCAAUCAACCACCAAACUAAUGUCAACAAAGCCAUGAGGAUUGUCUCACAAGUCUUUCAUUAAAAUCUUCUAAGGCACGCAAAGGCUCCACAAGUCUCAAAGCCUCCUCGAUGGCGAGACAGGAAGCCAGGUAUGCCAGAAUCUGCUCAGCCAUAAGAAGGCGAGCAUACCACCAAAAGUUAUAAAAAGUUUAAAAAGCAUGCAAAGGCCCCAUAAGUCUCAAAGCCUCCUCGAUGGCGAGACAGGAAGCCAAGCUCGCCAAAAUCUGCUCGACCAUGUGAAGGUGAGCAGACAAUGAGAAUUCCAAAAAAGUUUCUAAGGCAAGCAAAGGCUGCAAAUUCUCAAAACCUCCUCGAUGGCGAGACAAUAAGCCAAGCUCGCCAGAAUCUGCUCGACCAUGUAAAGGCGAGCAGGGAACAAAAAUCCCAAGAAAGUUUCUAAGGCACGCAAAAGGUUUUAAAGUCUCAAAGUCUGCUCAAUGGCGAGACAAGAAGUCAAGCUUGCCAGAAUCUGCUCGACCAUGUGAAGGCGAGCAGAUAAUGAGAAUUCCAAAAAGUUUCUAAGGUAAGCAAAAGCUCCAAAGUCUCAAAGCCUCCUUGAUGGCGAGACAGGAAGCCAAGCUCGCCAGAAUCUGCUUGACCAUGUGAAGGCAAGCAGACAAUGAGAAUUUCAAAAAAGUUUCUAAGGCAAAUAAAGGCUCCAAAGUCUCAAAGCCUGCUCAAUGGCGAGAUAAGAAGUCAAGCUUGCUAGAAUCUGCUCGACCAUGUGAAGCCGAGCAGAAAAAAAAAAAAGGGUACUACAAGUAAAAGGCUUACAGUCUCCAAACCUCCUCGCAGUGAGACGAAGUCAAAGUUUGCCUCUCUUGCCCGACUAAGAUUACGCGAGCAAGAGUUAUAUGAGCGAAAAAUGUUCUAAAGCAAAUAAAUGACUAAGUCUUAAAACCUACUUCAGGUGAGAUAAAUACCUAAACUUAUGAAACCUGCUUUACAUGAUUAUGUGAGUAGGAAAAUGGUAUAUUUAAAGGCAUGUAAAAGUUUAAAACUUGAAACUUUUUUGUUAAGGGCAAGGUUAAUUUAAGCAAUCCCGAGCCGAUUUAUGGCAACCACCUCGAGGUCACUUUAAAAUUUAUAUAGUUUCCAGUCUUGAUUCGUUAAAACUCUCAACACUAGAAACUGGGGGACUGGAUUGAUACGUAAAUUUGUCUAUUACACAUGCAGAAUUUUUACGUUAACUAUUACUUGUGUUAUUAUGUUUGUUAACUGCGUAGCAAUAACUAUAAACAUGAAUUAUUGAAAUUUGAUUCGAGUAACGACAGAGAGCCCCACUCCAAUCCCACAUAAACUCCAUGCAAGAAUAAAUAAAAAUUGAAUUAAUAACUAAGCUACCUCUAAUUGUAAAUUAGUGACAAAAUUGCCCCAAAAUUUUUUUCCUGGUGAGGUUGAAAUGCAAUUCAUUAGUGGAAUAUACAUAUCAUCUUUCAUUUGAUUUUAAUUUUAUUUUUUUAAUUUAUUUUUAGCGGACAGAAAAAAUUGAGGGCAUCUGUUUGGAUAUGUCAAAAGCAAAAGAGAUCCGUCUAAAUCCUAAUACUUUCACAAAGAUGCCUAAAUUGAGAUUUUUAAAGUUCUAUAGUUCGUCAUUCAAUGGAGAGAACAAAUGUAAGAUAUCUUAUUUGCAAGAUCCGGGAUUUGGUGAAGUGAAAUAUCUACACUGGUAUGGAUAUCCGUUGAAGUCAUUGCCUUCUGUCAAGGAAGCUCAUAAUGCAUGGAAGGAUGCAGCACACGUGUGAUAUGAAUACAGUCAGCUGAAUCAAUUGAAGAGUGAAGUACCAGCUCAGCUGAAGUUAGUUAGACACGUUAAGAUCAAGUUUUUAGUUAGUUCUUCAUUUUUUGUUAAGCUGUAAAACAGCUGAGUAUAAAUACAAGCAUAUUGUAAUCAUUUUGUGAUUAAGUAAAAAUGAAAGCAUUUGAUUCCAGAAGUUCUUUUACAAUUUUCUUAGCACUUUAAAUACAUUUUCUUAGUAACCAAAUUCAAGCUUUUAAGCUUUCAAACCAGGGAGUAUCAAACAAACCUGCAAGUCUCCUCAGUAUUGUCCAAGUAUGUUUCUUCUGCCCUGCUUCAGGGUGCCCAUAGAUUCCCGUGCAUCUCAUCCAACUUUCUUUGUCAUCUUGAACCUUGGCAUCAAUGUGGUGUCUGCUGAAUGAAGUAACAUCCAUAUUGACAUUAUUGUCCCAAAGCAUUGCCAAUCCCCCUCCCUUCCCGUUUCUAUUGACUGCAAAACAAUUUUCCAAUCUCAACUUCCUGCUCACUAUAAACGUUUGCACAGGCGUUAAUUUCGUUUCAAGCAAAAACAACAAAUGUGGCCUGUGUUGAUGGAGAAUUUUUUGCAAAGCUAGGAAUGUCCGGGAAUUCCCCAAACCACAGACAUUCCAACUGAGGAUCUUCAUUGUUGCCGGUAGGGCUGGCCACCAGCCUCCGCCAAUAUCUCUGUGAUGAUUGGCCUUGCCACCUCCAUGUCCUCUACUGACAUUAACUCCCAUUUUAGCUUAAGGUUUGCUGAAGGAGGGGAUUGCUAAGCUUGUCUUUGUAUUUGUUUAAUAGGACUAACCAAUUUGACUCUUUUUUUGUUUGGGUUGUUUUCUUUCAACAUGCAAUAUGGCCUCUUAGCUGGAUAUGUCUCCUGCUUGAUUCCUCCCAUCUCGCUUUGUUUUCGGGCCCAGCGUUUCUAGCUUUUUCUAUUGGGCUUGAUUUGAUUUAAUUCCGGUCCAUCAUCUACACCUUCCUCGUCUUCUUUAUAAACUUGAGCCUUGGCUCUUUGAUCCAUUUCUUCGGCAGCCAAUUUUCCUUCUUUGCUAAAUUUUCCGCUUUCCCUCUCAUUUUCAUCAACUUUUCCCGCGUUGCUACUCAUCUUUCUAGGGGCCUUUCCAUUUUCAGUGGCUACAGGUUGCUUGUAGCAGUCCACUAUCUGAUCUCCUGAUUUUUUUCCAGCUGAGCAUUAAAUGCGUUUCUUCUGCUUCCUCUUCAUUAUUUUCUUUAUUGGCUGCCACGUGUGUGUCUUCCUAGUCUGAGCUUGAUCCUGGUUCUGUUGCACUGGUCCUAUGUGAUUGAAGGGGUUGCUGCGGCUGGGAUAUUGGAUUUUCCUUGAAGUCUUUGUGCCUGUUAUUAGUUGGCUGGUUAACCAUUUUGCCACUAACUUUUGUUCCCCUUUCGUGGGGUCUGUUUAUUUUUUAUUUGCCAAAUACAGGGACCGCUUGCAUCCAUACUCCAUAAGCCAGUUUCUCUUUUGGUUGCCCCUCGUAUUUGUUGCACUCCUUGUAUUAGUGCCUGACGAGACCACAACAGAAGCAAAAUUUGGGCAAUCUCUCGUAAACUACUGGAAUUGGGACAUCAUCUUCUCCUUCGAGUUCUAGAUAAAUUGUUCUGCUUUAUGCAUUUGUUACUUCAACUCUAUGAUUUCCCAAGAAAACAAUCAAUAUGUGAAUGUUUAGGUGCAUAAAACAUGGACCAGCAGCUUGUAAGUGUUGGGGAAAGAUCAGGUUUUUUAAAUUUUUAUAAAAUCUUUUUAAGAUCGCUCUCAUAUAAUAUAUAAGAAUUUGUAAUCUACAAAUCGUACCUUGAAAAUUCGAUUUGGCUUUUUCCGCUAAAGUGAUUUAGGCUCCCAGAUCACGAUCCGUCACCACCACUCCUGUUAGAUCACGAUCCGUCACCACCACGCUUGUCAGAUCACGAACUGUCACCAAUGAUCUUCCAGGUUAUGACUCAAGUUUGAUCUGCACUUGACGUGUGGCCGCCUUUAUCACUACCAAAGUAACUAGCACGAGAAAAUUUUUCUCUCAACAAUACCGAGAAAAAUCUUUUUCUCUAAUCUGUAUAAAGUGGCUGUCCUGCUUUUUCUUUAGAGAAAAUAAGCCUUUUAUAUCUCCCUUUAGUGAAAACCCUAGGCUCUAAAUAAUAAAAAAACAAAACUCACGUUACUUGCUUUUUCUAUAGGGGACCCACCUUGUAAAAUAACAUAAAGCCCCUUACACACAAGCUAAUUAAAUGGAGCCUCCCACUAAAUGAUAUAUUUAGGCUUUUUACCCAAAUAGCUAGUUAUCUUGUUUAUUAAUCCAGUAGUGGUGCAAUCAAUUAAAUGAGCUAACCCGGGGAUUAUUUGGGAACAUAUAAUAGUGGCUAUAAUUAGGCCUGUAAUUAAACUAGCCCAAUUAUUUAAUUCCAAAUUUACUCCACUAAAAGAUUGGAACUGACUUCCAUAAUUGUAUACUCGAAUAAUAAUUCGUCCCAAGCCACAUUGAUUUUUUUACUGCACAAUCCUUUGUACCACAUCGUUAAUUAAAUUGAUUCCUUAAUACUUACUGGUUUUCUCUAAUGACCAUUUUCAACAUACUAAAUAUGUUGAUACACUCUGGCCAGAGAAUUCUAUGAUCAAGUGCCGAAAACCCAUCAAGAGAUGUGUUGUACAAAUUCUAUAUUGUUAAUCUAUAACUCCAAUACUCAUAAAUGCUCCCACCAAGAUACCGAGUAAUCUAGACUACAAGUAUGUGUCAUGCCCAUUGGUAACUCAAAUGGAAUAACAAUUACAAUCAUGAAAUCAUAAUUAACUCAAGAUUAAGAUUACAGUAAAAUCAAUGCCUAUGANNNNNNNNNNNNNNNNNNNNNNNNNNNNNNNNNNNNNNNNNNNNNNNNNNNNNNNNNNNNNNNNNNNNNNNNNNNNNNNNNNNNNNNNNNNNNNNNNNNNNNNNNNNNNNNNNNNNNNNNNNNNNNNNNNNNNNNNNNNNNNNNNNNNNNNNNNNNNNNNNNNNNNNNNNNNNNNNNNNNNNNNNNNNNNNNNNNNNNNNNNNNNNNNNNNNNNNNNNNNNNNNNNNNNNNNNNNNNNNNNNNNNNNNNNNNNNNNNNNNNNNNNNNNNNNNNNNNNNNNNNNNNNNNNNNNNNNNNNNNNNNNNNNNNNNNNNNNNNNNNNNNNNNNNNNNNNNNNNNNNNNNNNNNNNNNNNNNNNNNNNNNNNNNNNNNNNNNNNNNNNNNNNNNNNNNNNNNNNNNNNNNNNNNNNNNNNNNNNNNNNNNNNNNNNNNNNNNNNNNNNNNNNNNNNNNNNNNNNNNNNNNNNNNNNNNNNNNNNNNNNNNNNNNNNNNNNNNNNNNNNNNNNNNNNNNNNNNNNNNNNNNNNNNNNNNNNNNNNNNNNNNNNNNNNNNNNNNNNNNNNNNNNNNNNNNNNNNNNNNNNNNNNNNNNNNNNNNNNNNNNNNNNNNNNNNNNNNNNNNNNNNNNNNNNNNNNNNNNNNNNNNNNNNNNNNNNNNNNNNNNNNNNNNNNNNNNNNNNNNNNNNNNNNNNNNNNNNNNNNNNNNNNNNNNNNNNNNNNNNNNNNNNNNNNNNNNNNNNNNNNNNNNNNNNNNNNNNNNNNNNNNNNNNNNNNNNNNNNNNNNNNNCUGCUGUACGGCCAAGGCGGAUGUACGGUACAGCAGCUUCCCAAUGUAAACACAUAGCCGGAAGUUGAUUUUCUGGAAUCUUUAUCUGACAUAAAGUCAGAAUCAGUAUAACCUACUGGAAUGAGUUCAUCACCAGAAUACACAAGCAUAUAAUUUUUAGUUCUUUUCAGAUACUUCAUUAUAUGCUUGACCGCAGUCCAGUGUUCAGGUCCAGGAUUAGACUAACCAUCCCUAUCGCAAAACAGAUGUCUGGCCUAGUGCAAAGCAUGGCAUACAUGAGACUUCCCACAGCUUCUACAUAGGGAACUCGUCUCAUUCUCUCUAUCUCUUCAGAUGUUUUAGGUGAUUGAUCCUUAGAGAAUGUAAUUCCAUGUCUGAAUGGUAAUAAACCAGUCUUGGAAUUUUUCAUGCUAAAUCUAGCCAAUAUCUUAUCGAUAUAGACAACUUGAGACAAGGCUAAAAUUUUAUUCUUCCGGUCUUGUAGUAACUUGAUACCAAGAAUAUAACUUGCCUCUCCCAGGUCUUUCAUAUCAAAUUAUUUUGCUAACCAACUCUUUAUUGUAGUCAAUACUCCUAUAUUGUUUCCAAUUAGGAGAAUAUCGUCUACAUAAAGAAUUAGGAAGGUUACAGAUUUUUCUUGAAUUUUCUUGUACACACAUGGUUCAUCAAUGUUCUGAAUGAAUCCAAGCGAUUUAAUCUCUUGAUCAAAUUUGAUAUUCCAUGACCGGGAUGCUUGCUUUAAUCCAUAAAUGGAUUUUUGUAACUUACAUACCAUGUGUUCUUGGCCUUUUAUACGAAUCCAUCUGGUUGCUGCAUGUAGAUGUCUUCUUCAAGAUGCCCGUUAAGAAAGGCUAUCUUGACAUUCAUUUGCCAAAUUUCAUAAUCUAGCAUUGCAGUAAUGGAGAGCAGAAUCCUGAUGGAUUUAAGUAUAGCAACCGCAGAUAAAAGUUUCCUCAUAAUCGAUUCCUUCUUUCUGAGUAAACCCUUUGGCUACUAAUUUUACUUUAAAUGUUUCCACCCUUCCAUCUACUCAUCUUUUUCUCUUGUAGAUCCACUUACACCCUAUAGGUUUUACUCCAUUUGGUGCCUCUACAAUUUCCCAGACUUUAUUGGAAUAUAUAGAUUCCAUUUCUUGAUUCUUGGACUUUUUCCAAAAUUCAACAUCUCUAUCUAUUAGAGCUUCGUUGUAAUUAGUGGGAUCUUGUACAUGUUCAUCUGAGAUAGCUUUAUAGGUUUCUCCCAAAAGCAUGUAUCUCGCAGGUAACCUAGUUACCCUUCCACUACAACGAGGUUCUAAAAGUGAUGGUAGUUCAGGGAUAAUCCUGUGUUGAUCAGCUGGUUGUUACUGUUCUUCCUGUUCUAUAACAGGUGUUGAAAGUUGAGCAUCAACCUGAUCUCUUUUAUUUCUCUAGUUUUACCUUACUCUUAGGUUAUAAGUCAUUAUAUAGUCUUCCUAAAAAAAAAAAAAGUAAAGAAUAUGUCUAUAAAUACAUUCCUAUCUUGAGGAGAAUGAUAAACCACUUAGUAUAUAUCUUGUUUUAUCUAAAAGAAUCUUGUUUCUCCAUUUAAUUAUACUAUUGUAUCAUAGUAUUCAUAGACAACCAAAUAGUGCUUGAAUUUUCUAUAGAGAUAUUCUUUGUUUCGAUCAUAUUAAAGUUCUUUUAUGUUCCUGUCUAAUUGCUUAUGUCUUAUCCACGAACUCUUUUGAAUUUCAAAAGCAAUGGAAUCAUGACGCAUUUAGACAAACAUAAAUAAAAUGAAUAUUCAUCAACAAGAUUGAUAGAAUACUCAUAACCUCUUAUAACAUGUAAACUGAUUAGUCCGUAUACAUUUGUAUGCGCUAAAUCCUCAAAUACAAUGUUAUGCUUUUAGCUCUAAACGAGCAUCCUCGUCAUAUUACUUUUCUAAAUAAGAUUUAUAGAGUUACAAUGAUCAAUCUUAAUAGGCCAACAAGUCUAUCAUUAAUCAUUUUCUUAAAAUCUUAUUAUAGUUUAUAUGACUUAAGCAUAAAUAUCAGAGGUGAUUUUGGUUUGAAGAAACAUUUCUUUUCUUAGAUAAAUGUAUAUACUUAUUAUCAUUAUAUCUUGCUUUGAAUAGAUCAAUGGACUUAUAUGAUAUAAAUUGUCUUUAUAAAUAACCAAAAUAAAUAAUAAACAGAGGAUAAAAAAAAGAUCAAUAGACUUAUAUGAUAUAAAUUGUCUUUAUAAAUAACCAAACUAAGUAAUAAACAGAGGAUAAAAAAAUAACAGUGUACUCCCGUUUAUUAAAACAAGUCACCAAAAUUAAAUUCCUCUAAUAUUUGGAAAAAUAAAAUUUUCCAAGAAGUUUUUUGCUAUGAUAAAAUUCUUUUAUAGCAUGUACUUCGUGCAUUAAUUCAGUUAAGGUCAUAUCUUUAUUGUUUAAGAUAUAGAUGACCUUACACUCUUUGAAUGUAUCAGGUAAAGAUUCAAUCACUAUGUUAAUCUUUGAUUUAUCAUUGAUUUGAACACCAUGAAUCUCUACCUCAUUCAAAUAGUCCAUCAUUUUGAGGACAUGAUCGCGAACUCUUGUGCCCUCUUCCAUCUUAGUAUUUAUAAUAUGUUUUAAUGCUGCUUCUCUGGCAAAAUGGGUAUUUUACCCAAACAUCUGAUGAAGACUAGCCAUUAUUUCAGUGGCUGUUUCCAUGCUCUAAUGUUUCUUAUGCAGUUCCACAGAAAUCGAAGCCAAUAGAUAGCGCUUAGCCAUUUUGUUAGCUUCGCACCAUUUCUCAUAAGGCUCCCUCUAAUUUAUAUAAUUGUAUAACGAUGGUUCAGGAGGGCAAGGCUGUUUGCAGCCUUUAGCAGUGAGAAUAUUAAAUAGAUUGCGUUUCCAAUCUAAAUAAUUUUCGCCAGUGAGUUCAUUUUUAACAAGGAUAAUUAAUAAUGGGUUGAUAGAAGACAUUUUCUGAAAAAACAAAAUAAACAUGCAUAAAUACUUUGAAACAUUAUUCACAAUAAACGACAAAAAUGCAAAAAAUCAUAAAUGCAUUUUAAUUUAUUAUAACGAUAAUCUAGUACCGCUUUGACAAACUAUCCGUCAGGGAAGUCAUGUCUACACUUACUAGACCUAAUUAUCAAUUAGAUUAUUUACUUUCAUGUAGAGACAUGAUAAAUAAUUAUUGUUAUCCUUUUGGGCCUAAAUUUGUUAACAGAGCUUCAUUGGGAAGGUUAAUAACAAAUUUUAGUUGAGUGUAUAACCAUUGUUUCAAUCUACGUAUUUUUCAUAUCAAUAGUCACCGUUGGGGUGAACAAUCGAUUGAAAAAUAUUUCAAUUUUAUCUUUGAAGAAGUUCAUCAAAUAAAAUAUAUAAUACAUAUACCCUCCGUAGGGAGCAUCACUGUAUCAUAAAGUCGAGGUAUAUAUAUAAUUUUAUUAUUGAACUAACAAUGGAGCCCGUGGGAAAAUUAUCUUGAAUUUUCCUUCUCCCACUCAAUAUUUUUAAAUUGGUUUUUCCUUUUUAAAACAUACAUAUUGUUAAUUGCAUGCUUCCUAUAAUAUUAUCUAAAUUAUAUCAAAUAUUAUUAAGCAUUUGCAAAUUUCAAACAAUAUAAUGAGAUUCAUUUUUAAUGAAUGACAUGUAUCAUUAUGCAUAGAGUGGCACUACCUAUUCUAUAUGACAUGUUAUCAUGGCAUGUUAUCAUCCAAAACCUAACAUAUAAAAAAACAAUUAAAUAAUCUUAAUUCAUGGCUUUCCUAAUAAUGAAAAAAUACAUUAACCCUAAGCCUAAUCUUCAUUGGACUUAUUGUCAAUGUCCAUCUUUUCAUAAGCUUAUCUUUGUUAAUGGACUAGGGGAAAUUGAGCUUUUAAAUUUAUAAUUGAUCCAAUUUUAAUUUUGAAAAGGAAAUAAAUAAAUAAAUAAAUUUAUUAAAAUAAAACUUUUGGACCAAAAAUAAAUUUAAUGUAUUCAAUUUUAUUUCUCUAACAAACUUAACUUAACAACCCAUACAUAUCUUGCCCCUGUCUCUAACGAAUUUUAUCACAACAACUCAUCCUUUUGUUAUUUUAUUUAGUCAUAUCAUUAACCUCGAAAAGAGAGUAAGAAUUUAACUUUAAUUACCUCAAUUGGUGAGGUCUUUGCACAAACACACAAAAACCCAAAAGAGCUGCGAGUGUUCGAGGAGCGAGAAGGUUGUGAUGGUGAAAUUUUUCGGCUGGAACUAGUGAUUGUGAAGUGGCUGCUUGAUGGACUCGAGGAAGAAGAUGGCUUGAUCUCGCCGGAAUCGCAUGGGGUGUUGCUAGUGCGUGUGACGGCAGGGAAGCAGGAAGCUUAGCGUUUUUUGUUUACAAAUUGUUAGUGCCCACUGAUUUGCAUUAUGCUAGUUUACUUUUGGCGUUAUGCUACUUUACUUUUGGCGUUAUGUUACCUUUUUUUUUUUUUGACAAAAGUGUUAUGUUACUUUACUUUUUGGUGACUUUGCUUUGCAAAUUAUUAGUGACUUAACAUUAUGUUACUUUAUUUUUGCUAGUGCGUGUGACUUUGUUUUUAUUUUGUUUUAUAAUUUUUAUAAGUUAUAUUUGUAUAUUUGAUUAUUUAAUCAUUUUUUAUUUUUUAUUUUUAUUAGGUAAUGGCUAAGUUAAUACUGCUGUACCGUACAUCCGCCUUGGCCGUACAGCAGAGUUACAAAAAUCAUAAUUCUUAAUAAAAAUCGAAGAUUAUGACCUUAAAAUUUCGGCAACAUAACAUUUAUUUGUCUUUUUGCAUUUUCCAAAUAUAUAACCUAUAAAAUAAAGAUCGAAACAAAUAAUUCAAUCAAUUAAUCUUUAAAUAAUAUAACAACAUAAAUAAAUAAUUAAAACAUGCAAAAUUUGUCCAAAGUCAUUUGAAAAUGAUAAAAGAAAGGUUUUUACAUACUCCAAAAUAGUCACAAAAUUUUAAAAUGAUACAAUAGUUGUAACAAAAUGCAUGAUGUUAAGUAAUCCGAGUACACACAUCCAUAUGCUAAAAUACUAUCGCAUAAUAUCAUUGUUAAGUUAGACAUGCAAACUCUCCAUUAUCAAACUCCACCUCUCCUUUCAUGUUCACGCAAAAGCAUCCUAACAUAUGCUAACUUACGGUCACGAUCAUUCCGUAAUGCCUUGAAAGCCCUUAUAUUUGAAGGUUUCUCUACCAUUAAAUUUAAGGCCAUAAGCUCAUCAUCCAUAGAGAGUCCCAUCGAAGCAAGCUGUUCAGCAAUGUAAUCGUGAUCUUCACUACUUCCAUACAUAUUAUGAGACAUGUCGGUGUUGGCUUGGUGAAAUGCUGAAACCAAUUUCUCAAUACCAUCAACAACAUAUUCAUCUGAUUUAGACCUCUUUUUGUGUGAUGAUUGUGGACGUGAUCGAGUAGUGUCUUGAGAAUUUGCAGAAGGGGAAGCAAACAUGGGAGAACCUUCAUCAUCAAUCUCAUUAUCAUCAUGGAUUUCUUCUUGAAGUGCUGCAUUAGCCAUAUCAAUUGGAGUCUCUGCCGACCUUCCAGUUGCACGGUCUUUUCCAAAUAUAUUUGCUAGCCUCUCAUAAUAUAGAAAUGACUUGUUCCUCCAAUUGAUUGCUUCUCUAUGGGAUUACGAAAUAAAAAUAAGAUAGUUAAAUAAACUUUAUUAUUUUUAUAACAAUACACCAUGCAACCAUGCAAAUAUAACUAAUGACAUAAAAAAAAGAAAAUUAUUUUCCUUAUUGUAAAUUCAAAAUACUAACCUCCACAUAUGAUUUCCAUACUUCGUCACUAUCAACCUCCACACAUUUUCUCACAUCAUUCCAUCCAAAACCGCUAGUGUUUGACAUAUCAAACAACACCCCAUAAUUUUUCUUCCAUAUUCUUGUCUUAGAGUCAAUAUGUGGAUAAGCCUUCAAACCACAACCUGGUUGCAAUUUUUCUAAUUCAUUUUCAAUAUAUUUGUAACUUCCAGAUUUGAAGGUACCAUUAUCAGCUCAACUACCGUUUGCAACUAGUGCAUCUAAAAUGUUCAACAUUUUUUCUUCUUCCUCUUUUGUCCAUGCUCGUCUUGACCCUGUUUUAUUUCCAGUAGUAUGACUUGAACCUCCACUCUCCAUGCCUACAAAAUGAGCAAUUGAAACAUAACACCAAGUUAAAUUCACAUAAGUAACACUUGAUAAAUUCCUGUCGAUUUCGAUAUUUUAGCAAAAUUACAACCUUAUAUAUCUUCUUAAAGACAUAGCUAUAUAAACAAAAGUACAACUUGAGAUGCUUUCCUAAGAAUAUCGAUAUACUAACAAAAGUACAAUUUUAGAUGCUUUCCUAAAACCAUUGAUAUACUAACAAAAGUAUAGCCUUAGAUGCUUUCCUAAGAACAUCAAUAUACUAACAAAAGUACAGCCUUGUAUACCUCCUACGAACAUCGAUAUACUAGCAAAAGUACAGCCUUAGAUACUUUCCUAAUAACAUCUAUAUAUUAACAAAAGUAUAUCCUUGAAUACUUUCCUAAUAUAUAUAUUAACAAAAGUACAACAACCUAAUUGCCCAACCAAUUAUUAUACAUUGCAGUAGCUAAAUCAUUCCUCCAACUCGUCCAUUGGUCUGAAGCUUCAAGGCUACUUAUGUUAUCACUAUCGUCUACUUCAUUGUUAGAUAUGUCAAGUAACUCAUGCUCUAUUGGAUCCACAAGCAUUUCUCUCCUAAUCAGAUUAUGUAAUAAACAACAUGCAGUAAUAAUGCGACAUUGGGUUUUAAUUGGAUAGAAUGAAGGACUUCGAAGAAUGGCCCAUCGCAUUUUGAGCAAUCCGAAACACCGCUCAAUUACAUUUCUUGCUGAGGAAUGUUUCAUGUUAAAGAACUCCUCUUUAUUCUGAGGAGCACACCCAUCUCUCCAUUCAGAUAAGUGAUAUCUUAUUCCCCUAUACGGUGCAAGGAAUCCUUCAGCAUUUGUGUAUUCGGCAUCCACAAGAUAGUAAUAACCUAUUUAUUUCACAUAAGCAUUAGUACAAUUUUUAGUUUUAAUAUGUAAUUUAAUUUACUAUCAUUUUUGGGAUAAGUAAUACCUGUAGGAACUUUUAAACCGGUUGGCUUACUUAAUGCAUCGCGAAGUACUCUUGAGUCAGAUGCAGAGCCUUCCCAUCCAGGCAUCACAAAGAUGAAUUUCAUAUCUCGUGAACAUACUUCUAAAACAUUAGUAGCAAUCUCACCCUUUCUUGUUCGAUAUCUUGGCUUAUCAUUUUCUCCGACGCGGACUUUAAUAUAAGUUCCAUCCAAUGCCCCUAAGCAAUUCUACACAUAUAAAACAAAUGAAAAAUUUAUAAGCAUUGAACUAUCACUAGCUAUAAUCAAAUAAAAGUAAUUGAUAAUAUACCUUAAACCACUUCCAUCUCUCAUCAGUGCAAUUCUCUGGUACAGGUUCUGGUGCCCUUAGUAAAACAUCAUGUAGUCGUAACACUCCAUUUAAUAUUGAGUUGAAGUAUCUACUAACUGUUUCGCCAGAUCUGAAAAAUCUACUACCAAUUGUGCGAUUCUUGACAUGAUGAGACAAAGUGUGAAGAAACAUGCAAACUUGCUCUUCAAUCGUCACUGAACCAUUAGCCCUUAAUCCUCCAUUCACUCGAAGGAGCUCACAUAGUAGGCCAAAUGUCCUUCUAUCCAUUCUUAGUUGAUUCACACAUUGUAUGUCACUAUUGCCUAUAAUGCUAUCUAAGUAUUGUAAUCGAGUGGCAUGAUUUUGGAAUGUACGACUACGAAUUAAUUUUCUUUGAUUAUGCUUUCGGAUCAACAUCAUUAACAAAAAAAAUGUCACAAUGAACAUGAACCUCAAUUUCAUUUGCCACAUGACGAAAAAAAAUUUUCCUCUCAUGUCCAUAUCUAAAACAACAAAUAAAAAUGAGUCAAAAAUCAGCUAGCAAGCCAUUGAUAAAAUGUCCAUAAACUUAAAUGCUAGCACACUUUUGUUUUUGCUAUUUUCACAAAGAAGAAAAUAGAAGCAUGCAUAUAUAUAUAUAUAUAUGUAUAUAUAUGGAGAGAGAGGGGUGGUUAUUAUUACUAUUAUUAUCAUUACACAUACACAAAUUUACUAUGGACCCUAGUCCUAAUUAAUGACUUAAACAAAUCACGUGGAAAAAAAAAAUCCCUAUUUUCUUCCAUCUCUGUUCAUGUCCGUUGAAAUUAUAACAUGCAAAUAUAAUAUAAAGAAAACAUUUUCUGGGCACAAAAUAAGAGAAUGCUAUUAUGAAACCAAUAUUAGAAAAAUAAGCAUUGUUUCACAGGAAAAUAGUUAUACAGGUGCCAAAGCAAUGCAAGUUGACCACAAUAAUCAUAAUUGAAAAUCUAGUAUAUUCUUAAUUAAAACACAUUUAAAUCAAACAAUAGUUAAUUGCCUUAAAGAGUGUAAUAGACAAGUUUACCUGAAAUGAGAAAUUUGAAGAUCCACUUGUAAAGAGAAGGUAUUGCAGAGCUCUUUCUAGAUCAGCACUUUUAUCUUAUAUAGGCCUACAGUCAAUGAUUCUAGUGCCAAGAAAAGUUAUGGAAACUAUCAGCUACCUAAUUUAUGAAAUUCAUUGAAAUAAAAAUUAUGUCAUGAACAAGAUGAGUAAGAAAAUUUUACCCUGUGACACUUUUAUCUUAUAUAGGCCCACAAUCAAUGAUUCUAGUGUCAGGAAAAAUUAUGGAAGCUAUCAGCUACCUAAUUUAUGAAAUUCAUUUAAAUAAAAAUUAUGUCAUGAACAAGAUGAGCAAGAAAAUUUUUCCCUGUGAUUGUCUUGUCUUUUCAUAUAAAAGUUAUGUCAAUAAUGAGACAAAUGGGAGGAAAAAGGGAAAUGGUGGGAUGGGAAAAAGGAAAGAAUAAGACAUUUCUAUUAAAGGAUCCAGAUACUUCAAUCAUUAAGUUAAUUCAAACAAAAAACCCAAAUCCAAAAUCAAACCUCAGGAGAUGAAGGUCGGUACAGUGGUGGUGUUGCGCAGUGGGUAGCAGUGGAGAUGGUAUUGCACAUAGCGUGGGUGUCGCACGGGGAGGUGACGACGAAGUCAGAUGGCGUGGUGGUGGAACGUUGUGGAGGUGGCUUCUGUUAAGCACAGGAAGAACCACAAAGAGAGUGAUUUGAGAACAAUAGUAAUGAGAAUAGAAAGGAAAUUUUAUUUUUGUCGCAAAAUAGCAUCAAACCCGUGUAAACCCGACCCCCCCCCCCCCGGGUUCAUUUUAUUGUAACCACAUUACAAUCCUAUGUGAUGUAUUUACCAAACAUUGUAUAAUAAUACAUUAAUACUAUGAGGGGUCCUAAUACCUCAUAAUGAGGGGUACCAAACAUAGCCUAAAAUCACAAUUUUCUUUUCCUUCUCCCCAGCCGCCAUCAACACAAACCUCCGCCACAGUUCAGAUGCCAGCUGACCUCCGACGCAUCUCCGACGCCGAACCACCCGCCGCCGCGUCACCGGAAACGCACCAAACACCUCCCUCGCGCUGCACCGAAAGCUCCUACUCGCGCUGCCUGCUGCGCGCGCUAGCUGUUGCACGCAAGUGUAUGCUAGCUGCUGCACGCACAGCGUGCGUUGCUGGCUGCGCGAGCAGCGUGUGUGCGCGCAGCGUGCGCUGUCUGCUACUUGUGCUGGUGCAACGCUGCUCGCAGCAUGCUGCUGCAGCGGGUGCUGCUGGCAUGCGCUUGCAGCGGGUGCGUUCGUUAGUGUUGCCUCUGAAAUUUCCAGUCUUCCGUUUCUUUGAUCUGGCAUCCGUGAUAAUUCUCCAGCGAUUUACAAAUUUCCUAGGCCAAUAUUGGCUUACAAAAAUUUUAUAACAGUAAAAUAAAUCAAGUGGGAAAUAUGGUGAUAAAAAACCACCCUUCUUGUUACAGAUCCAAAGAAAAAAUACAACAGAAAAUCUAUCUAUGAAUUAAGACAAACCAAAACAUGUUUUAUUCAUAUAUUAAACAAAUAAUAUAUAUCUGAAUAAAUUGUGCCACUCCAAUACAUAAAUUUCAAGAUUAAUUUCAUACGAAAUUCUUAUAUAUUAAUAUGAGAUGGCUCUGAUACCAAUUGUUGGGGAAAAAUUAGGUUUUUAAAAAUCGUACCUUGAAAAUCCGAGUUAGCUUUUUCCGCUGACGUGAUUUAAGCUCCUAGAUCACGAUCCGCCACCACCACUCCUGUUAGAUCACGAUCCGUCACCACCACGCUUGUUAGAUCACGAACUGUCACCAAUGAUCUUCCAGGUUAUGACUCAGGUUCGAUCUGCACUUGACGUGUGGGCGCCGUUCUCACUACCAAAGCAACUAGCACGAGAAAAUUUUUCUCUCAACAAUAGAGAGAAAAAUCUUUUCUCUGAUCUGUAUAAAGUGGCUUCCCCCUUUUUUCUUUUGGGAAAAAUAAGCCUUUUAUAUCAUCCUUUAGUGAAAACCCUAGGCUCCAAAUAAUAAUAAAAAAUAAAACUCACGUUACUUUUUAUUUUAUAGGGGACCCACCAUGUAAAAUAACAUAAGGCCCCUUAUACAUAAGCUUAUUAAAUGGAGCCUCCCACUAAAUGAUAUAUUUAUGCUUUUGACCCAAAUAGCUAGUUAUCUUACUUAUUAGUCUAGUAGUGGUGCAGUCAAUUAAAUGAGCUAACCCGGGGAUCAUUUGGGAACAUACAAUAGUGGCUACAAUAAUUAGGCCUGUAAUUAAACUAGCCCAAUUAUUUAAUUCCAAAUCUACUCCACUAAAAGAUUGGAACUGACUUCCAUAAUUGUAUGCUCGAAUAAUAAUUCGUCCCAAGCCACAUUGAUUUCUUUACAGCACAAUCCUUUGUACCACAUCGUUAAUUAAAUUGAUAUCUCAACUGUCCAAUCAAUUUAAUAACAUCUUAUUCCUUGAUACUUACUGGUUUUCUCUAAUGAUCAUUUUCAACAUACUAAAUAUGUUGAUACACUCUGGCCAGAGAAUUCUAUGAUCAAGUGUCGAAAACCCAUCAAGAGAUGUGUUAUACAAAUUCUAUAUUGUUAAUCUAUAACUCCAAUACUCAUAAAUGCUCCCACCAAGAUACCGGGUAAUCUAGACUACAUGUAUGUGUCAUGUCCAUUGGUAACUCAAAUGGAAUAAUAAUUAGAAUCAUGAAAUCAUAAUUAACUCAAGAUUAAGAUUACAGUAAAAUCAAUGCCUAUGAGAUUUAAUAAGUCUGACAAUUAUUACAAAGUUAAUUAAAUCUCAUAUGUGAUCCUGUUCAAUGUAGUCGUACUACAUCAAUAAAUUCAUACAUGAUUAAGACAAAUCAUUCAAUGAAUUUAUUAUAGUCUAUACCUAAAUAAAGUGUCCAACUUUACUUAUCAACUGCGAAUUAAAUUUAUUUAAUCAUAAGAUAACUUGUAUUUAUGUCUUCUGUGAAUCCACAUGGUGAUCACAUAAAUACAUAUAAUAUGAUUAAAUGGACUUUGAAUUAAAAUAUUAAUGCAAUUAAGAUAUUUGAAUAAAAUACCUCAGUUAUUUUAUUAAUCAGAAAAAUUGUUUAUUACAAUUAAAUAAACUUUUAUUAAUCAGAAAAAAUGUUCCUCAUUAAUUUUAUUAAUCAGAAAAAAUGUUUAUUACAAUUAAAUAAACACAUAUGCUUUUAAAGAGCAUAUUUUUCUAACAGUAAGAACCAGGGAAAAAAGCAGAACAAUUUCAAUUCUUUGAAACUAAGUGCAGUUAAGUAAAUUCAUAAUUUCAUAAGUUCUUUUAUAAUAUGAAAAUUGUAUUACUUCUAUAUGAAUUACUUAUAGUGUGGUUAAAUAGAGUGUUUCAGACUCAUGGAACAAGAAUGUUGAUAAGGUUAGCAAGCAAUGAACAACAGAAUUGAUUGAGGAAACUCAGGGUUAGAUUCUCACUAGUCCUGCAAUUAACAACUGGAAAAGUUAAAUCAAAUAAUAGCAAAUUCAAAUCUUAGGUGGCCACUUCUUUUGGCUCAGUCAGAAGUUCAGGUUUGAUAGCAGGUUCUAUAAUAUCUCCCCCACCAUGCACACAUCAUUAUCUUAAUUUUAUCAUGCUUGUAUGCCGGGAUGGAUGCUUGUAUGCUUGACUUCUGCCACAUUUCCAUUUCCAUACAUAUUCACUAUACAGUAGCGGCUCGACCUCUAGGCAACUUAGGUGGUUGCCUAGGGCCCCUCUUUAUAUGAGGGCCCCAUGAGAUGAUUAUUUUGUAAAUAAAAGAGGAAAGUGAAUUUAAAAGUCAUUAUUAUUCAUUUAAUUUAUGAUUAUUUUAUAAUUAUCUUUUCCUAAAUAAACUAUCAAAUUCCUAUAAAGUUUAUUUAAUAUAAUACUUAGUAGUUUUAAUUCCUACAAAACCGAUAAAUUCCAGAUUUUAUCUUUUUCCUAUUCUCGUAAUUGGCUGUGUUUAUUUAUUCUUAUUUCUUUUUAAUAUAUUCUUGUAUUAAUCUACUAUUUUUUGUGUGUGCUUGUUUUAUCUAUUUUGAAAUAAAACUAUAUCGAAAAACUUUAGAAAAUAGAAGAAUAGAAAAAUUAGUUUAAUCUAGAAAAGGAGCAGUAAAAAAGAUGUAAUUUGAAUUAAAAAAAAGUGAAAAUGUUAUAAUUGAAUUAAAAUUUCAUGGAUUAGCAAAAGUAGAAUAGAAUUUUAUUUAAUAAUUUUACAUUUUAGAGUAUUUAAAGAAUUAAUUUUCAAUAAAUAAUAUAUAACUAAUAUAUAUAUAUAUAUUUUGUCUUAAAUUUUAAGAAGAACUAAUUGAAAUCAUUUACCUAAGGCCUCAAAUAUGGUUGAGCCGGCCCUGUCACUAUAAAAGUAUAAUAGCAAGUAUUAGUUAGCUGAGCUGACUUUUGUUGACCAAAGCUUGUAUAGAAACUGAAUAACAGAACAACUUAUGAGGCUUGUAACCAAAAGGAUGCCUAAAGCUAAAGCCAACUAUUUUUAGUAGAAAUUGAGGGCACUAAACCUUUCUUCUCUUCCCAAGCUUUAUGCAAUUUCAAAGAAAAAUGUGAAACCUUUAAUCUUUGUUUUCCAUUUUUUACUUAUUUUAAUGAGAAAAUUCUACAAUUUAAUUAAAAAAAUUUUAAAGAUUAUAGUGGAAUUACUCCAAAAGAAUAUUGUAUUCUUUUUCCCUAUAAAACGCAAUUACAAUGAAGACGCCCUUAAUAAAAUACCUAAAGAAAUUUUUGCUUUCGGUGCGUAGAUUAUUGAAGCUGGCUUUUGUCAACAUCGUGUCGAUCAAAAUCAUUCUUCAUUAAUAUAUAUUAUUAUUGUACUUAUAUAUUCAUGCUUAGUAUUAUGUUCAUGUUUCGCUAUUACCUAAUUGAAAUUGCAUUCCGACUUGGAUUUUUAAUUUCUUGAUAAACUAUAUAUUCAUUUGAAUUAUGUAAUUUGAAGAUUUUCGUAUCAUUAGUCUGUGCUUGUUGGUUUUUUAUUUAUCUCAUUUUAAUAUAUCAAUUAUAAAAGGAAAAAACGACAUCAACACCCCUAAAUUUGAGGAAAUGAUCACCAACACCCCCAACUUUUUUAAAAAAAGACACCAAGACCCCUUUUUGACCAUUAAUCCUUUAAAAAAUUAAAUUUAAAAUUUUUAAUAGAUAGAAAUAUUAUAUAAAUAAUGUAAUCUACGCAACAGACUAAGAACAUUAAAAUAAUUUAAUAUUUUAAUAAAUUUAAAUAUAUAAAUUGUUAUAUUUAUUUAAUAAUAUAUUUUUAUUUAUUUUAGAUAUUUUAAAUAAAUAUUUGCAUUAAACAUAUCUUACAAUAAAAAAAUCUCACAUACUAAUGUUAUUACUAUUUUACAUAAUAUUCAAAAUAAUUUUAAUUUUAAUACACUUGUUUUAACAUUAUGAUUCUAUUUAUUAUAAAAUUUAAUUUUAUAUACUAAAAUAUAUCUAAUAGAUUGCAAAAUAUUAAAAUAUUUUUGAAGUAUUGAAAUUAUUUUACAAUGUAUAAAUUAUUACAUUUAUUUUAAUGUUAUAUUUCUAUUUAUUAUAAAACAUUAGAGUUGAUUCUUUUUUGGAUAAUAGAGGUUAAAGGGUAUUAUCGUUAAAAGAGGGUCUUGGUGUUCCAUUUUGAAAAUUUAUGGGUGUCGGUGAUUAUUUCCCUAAACUUUGGGGGUGUAGUUGUCAUUUUCUCCAUUAUAAUAUCUUUUUUUUGGCUAUUAUACCUUUUAAUUAUAGUAAUAUUAAAAUUGAUUUUAAAUUUUAAAAUAAGUACAAACAUAAUAUUAGAAUAAAUAAACAAAAAUAGUAAUUUUUAUUUUAGAAUUCCGAAUAUCUUGUUUUCAACAUAAGUAUAGUAUGUCAACUAGAUGGCAUCCUAAAAUAAAAAUUACAGAGAGGAAAUCAGAUUGCUAUUAUUAGACUAAAUAAUAAAAAAAUUAAUUUUUAUUUUGGAUUUAUUUAAAAGUAAUUGAUCACAAAAUAAAAAAACUUUAAAACAAUUGACCCAGGGCCAGCCUCGUUCGUCCUUUUAUAUAGAAUUGCAGGUAAAAAUCAUGCCCAGAACAUGUUUGAUAAAAUACCCAAGGAGGAAUGCAUCCACAGGAUAUGUUGAAGAGCAACGACAUGAUGCAGCUGUUGCUGUAACUUUGUGAUUUCCUAAGCAAUCAGAAUCAAACAGUCAACAAAAUCAACUUUAUGAUACAUCUAUUGCCACAAUUUUUUUUUUCGCAUAGAAAAUUCAAUAAAAUUAAUUUAAUAUUGUCCAGGUUCAAACAUUUUCUCGCUUUGCUUGUAGUGGGGGUUUUCGGCUCCUUCAAUUUGCUGGUAGUGUACUUUUUCGUUUGCUGAUUAUGAUUAUUUAGGAGCCAAACUUAUAACAUUUAAUUCCAAAAAAAAAANNNNNNNNNNNNNNNNNNNNNNNNNNNNNNNNNNNNNNNNNNNNNNNNNNNNNNNNNNNNNNNNNNNNNNNNNNNNNNNNNNNNNNNNNNNNNNNNNNNNNNNNNNNNNNNNNNNNNNNNNNNNNNNNNNNNNNNNNNNNNNNNNNNNNNNNNNNNNNNNNNNNNNNNNNNNNNNNNNNNNNNNNNNNNNNNNNNNNNNNNNNNNNNNNNNNNNNNNNNNNNNNNNNNNNNNNNNNNNNNNNNNNNNNNNNNNNNNNNNNNNNNNNNNNNNNNNNNNNNNNNNNNNNNNNNNNNNNNNNNNNNNNNNNNNNNNNNNNNNNNNNNNNNNNNNNNNNNNNNNNGAAAGGUCCAUCCGUCGCUUGGAUUGCUGAAUCGCUCUUUUGGAUAAAUUUUCCGUGCUUUCAACAAUAGAAAAUUAUAGAGAUUGAACAAUUAGCAACAUACAGAAAGUUAAAAUUACUACCAAAUGAGCAAUUAUACUUUUCCAGCAAGUGAUUUCUGCUUUCUUAGACUGCUGAAACGAUUAAUAUGAAACGAGCGAUUGGACAAUUAGAGAGACACAAUGCCCAGCCUGGACUUUUUUUUUUUUUUUGGUAGUUUCAAAUGAUGGAUUAUAGAAAGGAUAGAAUGAAAAAUAAGGAUAAAUUGGGAACUAAAUGGGUUCACUAAUAAGAAAUAAGAGUAAUUUAUUUUUAAUUGGUCUAUUAAAAGAUGGAGUCUAAUGAAAUAAAAUGAGGAGUUUAAAUAUCACUUUUUCCAUAGAGUUGGCCAACUAGCACUCUUCUAAUUUUUAAUUUUUUUUCUAUCAUUAAAAUUUAAAAUAGUAUUCUCUUCUUUGUUUUAUUUUACAAUCUUGUUAUGUAUAUGCAUAUUUUAAAUCCUAAUUUGACUUAAGUUAUACAGAUCAGAUAAAAUGUUUUUCAGGAAUAAUUGAUUCCCACGCCCUGAACGUGUUUGAUAAAAUGCCCAUAUAGGAACUCACAAAAUGAACAAGUAAAUGCUGAUGGAAAUCACAGCUUUUUCCCCCUCUGGUCAACAAGAUAAAACAGUACUUGGCUGAGCCUAAGCAGCUAAAAUAACAGCUUGAUUAAUGCUUUUCGCAGCAAGGAACCUACGAAAAAAGCCUUAAAUUAAUUGCUUCCGUCCAGACUCUUGCUUACUUUACUGAUCACCAUCAUUGUGGUAAUUUUGGCAAAGUGAUUGUAGUCAAUAGCUUUCCUCUGGUUUCUCCCUGAUUUUGUACUAAAUUUGGUGUCCGAGACCGCAACUGGUUUCCUGACAACUUGAAGCUGUACGGCCAAGGCGGAUGUACGGUACAGCAGUACAAUAAAAAAAUCUCACAUGCUAAUGUUAUUAUUAUUUUACAUAAUAUUCAUAAUAAUUUAAAUUUUAAUACACUUUUUUUAACAUUAUGAUUCUAUUUAUUAUAAAAUUUAAAUAUAUAUAUACUAAAAUAUAUCUAAUAGAUUGCAAAAUAUUAAAAUAUUUUUGAAGUAUUGAAAUUAUUUUACAAUGUAUACAUUAUUACAUUUAUUUUAAUGUUAUAUUUCUAUUUAUUAUAAAACAUUAGAGUUGAUUAUUUUUUGGAUAAUAGAGGUUAAAGGGUAUUAUCGUUAAAAGAGGGUCUUGGUGUUCCAUUUUGAAAAUUUGUGGGUGUCGGUGAUUAUUUCCCUAAACUUUGGGGGUGUAGAUGUCAUUUUUCCAUUAUAAUAUCUUUUUUUGGCUAUUAUACCUUUUAAUUNNNNNNNNNNNNNNNNNNNNNNNNNNNNNNNNNNNNNNNNNNNNNNNNNNNNNNNNNNNNNNNNNNNNNNNNNNNNNNNNNNNNNNNNNNNNNNNNNNNNNNNNNNNNNNNNNNNNNNNNNNNNNNNNNNNNNNNNNNNNNNNNNNNNNNNNNNNNNNNNNNNNNNNNNNNNNNNNNNNNNNNNNNNNNNNNNNNNNNNNNNNNNNNNNNNNNNNNNNNNNNNNNNNNNNNNNNNNNNNNNNNNNNNNNNNNNNNNNNNNNNNNNNNNNNNNNNNNNNNNNNNNNNNNNNNNNNNNNNNNNNNNNNNNNNNNNNNNNNNNNNNNNNNNNNNNNNNNNNNNNNNNNNNNNNNNNNNNNNNNNNNNNNNNNNNNNNNNNNNNNNNNNNNNNNNNNNNNNNNNNNNNNNNNNNNNNNNNNNNNNNNNNNNNNNNNNNNNNNNNNNNNNNNNNNNNNNNNNNNNNNNNNNNNNNNNNNNNNNNNNNNNNNNNNNNNNNNNNNNNNNNNNNNNNNNNNNNNNNNNNNNNNNNNNNNNNNNNNNNNNNNNNNNNNNNNNNNNNNNNNNNNNNNNNNNNNNNNNNNNNNNNNNNNNNNNNNNNNNNNNNNNNNNNNNNNNNNNNNNNNNNNNNNNNNNNNNNNUUUUCUUCUCUUGUCGAACAGGAUCAAAUAUAAACGUUUAAUGUUGAAGCGUCUUUGGUAGGCACCGAUACAGGGAUCAAUAAUUUAGACAUAGAGAGUAAUUGUUUAGGAAUUGUGUAUUAUUCCCAUGUCCAUAACAUGUUUGAUAAAAUGCCCAAGAAGGAACCAUAUGUCCAACGCUCCAACCUGUUGCCUUGAACAGAGAUGAUGCAUCUGUUACUCCAACUCUAUGAUUUCCCAAGAAAACAAUCAAUAUUUGAAUGUUUAGGUGCAGAUAGCAUAGGCUAGUAGCUUGUAAGAACCAGGCAAAAAGCAAAACAAUUUCAAUUCUUUGAAACAGAGAGCAGUUAAGUAAAUUCAUAAUUUCAUAACUUCUUUUAUAAUUUGCAAACUGUAAUACUUUUAUGUGAAUUGUUGUCAGUGUAGUUCAACAAAGUGUCUCAGACUCAUGGAACAAGAAUGUUGACAAGCUUAGCAAGCAAUGAAUAGUAGAACUGAUCGACAGGAGUGUCAUUAGGUAUAGGGGAACAAGACAGUCGCUUAAGGCCUCAUAUUUUAAGAAGGCCUCAUUUUUUGAGUAUUUUCUUAAUAAUUCUCUAAUUAAUAAAAAAAUUUAAUGCGUAUUUUAAGAAAUUAAAAAGUUUAUUAGAUAUCUCUCUAUUCUUCAUUAUCCUACAAUUAAAAAUUAUUUUUUAAUAAAAAAUCUAUAUUUGGGAACCUUAAUUUUAAAGAAAUAUAAUUAAUAAAAAUUAUGCAUUGACAUGGACCUUUAUUUUUUAUGUCUUUGUUCUUUUUUAAGUUGCAGGAAGUGUCGAAACCAAUACCGCAUUUAAGCAUUGUUGUUCCAAGAAGUAAAAUUCCAAUGUGUUGCAGGUAUCAGAAUGAAGGGUCUUCAAUAGCUGUCACAACGCCUUUAUUUUGGCGUAAAAGGAAUGAGGUGGUGGGAUAUGCUAUUUGCUGUGUUUUUAAUGUCCGCAAACAUUCACCUGGUACCAAAAGUUUGCGCUCAUACCCCACACAUCAGUUGAGCUGCCAUAAGAAAGAUUCUUAUAUCAGUAGUUAUAUUGAUUUUAGGGAAAAGUUCGGUCAAGCGGGGUCAGACCAUAUUUGGCUUUUAUAUUUGUCUCGUGAAGAAGGCUAUUUGCGCAAAUGGAAUUUUGAAUCUCAGGAUUUUGUGUUGUCAUUUCAGUCUGAUUCAGGCCCAGGAUUGGAGGUGAAGAGGUGUGGUUUCCAUCGAGUUUAUAAGCACGAAGUGGCGAAGUUCGACCAUGCAACAAACCUAUGGACUCGGUCUAUUGAUUAUAAUCUGAAUGGAAACGUUUGGUCUCGGUUUAUUGAUCAUCUGCAUGAAUUGUGUCAAAAUCGAGCUCAGCUCAACAAUGUAUGUACGGGGUCGGUUAAUUGAUUAUCUGGAUGAAAACCAAGGGGAGGAUUUCGACCAAACAACAAACCAAUGGACUUGGUUUCUUGAUCAUCUGAGUGAUUUUUUUCCAGAUGCAGGAAAGUUCAACCAAGCAUGUUAUUUGUUUUUUUAUUAUAUCCAAAUGCAAAGAAGAGUCCGAGACCUCUGGAGUCUGCGAAGAGCUCUCAAAAUGAAGGGAGUAAGGCCCAGCAGUCGAUAGGAUUUCGUUGACAUAAUCUUUAUGAAGAUUUUUUUUUUCCUUUGUUUAAUUGCUUGUUAUUUAAAUUUUUUUUUUGGAGACUUUGGCUGAAAAUUUUAAAUUUUAUGAAGUUAAAAUUGUAAUUAUUAUUUUUGGAAAAAAGUUGUGUGCCAUUUGUUGUGACUUCUAUUUGCUAUCACAAUUUGUUUUUUUAAAAAUUGAUUAUUAUUUUAUUUAUUAAUUUAAAAUAAAAAAUUUUACAAUUUUGGCUUCCUCAAUUUAAAAUUUAAUUUAUAAAAUUUAUAUGAAAGAAAAUAAAUUAAUAAAUGUAAUUAAAUUCAAAACCAAUGAACUAAAUUAUUGAACUUUAUCCUAAUCAGAAUACCAGAUUUCUCAGGGGUUCCAAAUUUAAAGGACCUAGAUCUUGGAGGAUGUACAAGAUUGCAUAACAUUCACCCUUCAUUGCUACUUCAUAAGAAAGCUUAUUUUAUUGAACCUUAAAGACUUCAGUAAUCUUACUACUCUUCUGAGCAAGAUGAAGAUGAAAUCCCUAAGAAAACUUGUACUUUCUGGUUGCUCUAAGCUGAAGAACUUUCUGGAGAUUGUGGGAACUGUGGAAUGUCUGUUGGACCUUUUUUUUGAUGGAACAGAUAUUAUGGAACUACCACCAUCAAUCCGGUUUCUUUUUGGACUUACUUUGUUGGAUUUGUAAAACUGGACCAAUCUUGUGGUACUUCCAAGUACUAUAAAGGGUUCAACAUCUCUUGAAAUGCUGAAUCUCUCUGGCUGCUCCAAAUCUAAAAAUAUUUUAGAGAGUUCUGAAAAAGUAGAAAGCUUUGAGGAGCUUGAUUUGACUGGAGCGGCUUCAAGGAACUGAGUGUGAAGAUAUGUGUAUGUGGACUGAAAUGAAGAAACUGGAAAAGUAUAGAGCUGUUGUGCAGAUUGACUUCAGUUGAUGGGGUCUAUUUGAUAUUUUCUGCUGACGUGGCAUGGAUUCGUUAUAAUCUGCUAUAACGAGCCCAACACACUGAUAUAAAACAGUGGCUGAUGGGUGGUGCCUGAUAUCGUGUUAAUAUCGUCUUCAUUUGUUCAUCAUUUUGCAUAGAAUCUGUUCCAUUGUGAUCUAUGCAUAAUCUUCUGUAAAUCACUUGUAAUUGGGUUAGUUCUUGAUCAAUAAUAAUGAGUAAAUUUUCCUUCCAAGUCUGCUGGUCUGUGUCUUUGUUUUGUCUCUGGUAUAGCUUCUUUGUUCUGGCUUUCUUGAUUUGAUUGUGUUCUUGGUGUUUCUACUCAUCAAGAUUCGUGAGUCUUGCUGUGAUUUAGACUUAAAAUUCUUAACACCGAGUGUGGUCCAUAUUUUCUAUGAAAAAUUUUGAAGCACUGUCUUUUCUUGGUUCCAAAUUAUCACAAUCAUCAACAUCACGUUAUUUGCGCUUCCCCAUCAAUUGGUUUCAAUCAAGGAGUUCACGUCCUUUAUCUUUGAGGUUGCCUUCUCUGUCAAAUUUGUGUUCAUUAAGGAAAUUGGAUCUCAGUGACAGUAAUUUGGGGGAAGGAGCAAUCCCCAGUGAUAUUGGCAACUUAUGCUCAUUAAAAGAGUUAUGUUUGAGUAGAAACAGUUUUGUUUCGCUACUGGCAAGCAUUCUUAAGCUUCGAGAACUGGAGUUGGAAGAUUGCAGAAGGCUUCAAUUUUUGCCACAACUUCCACCCAACAUAGAGCAAGUUUGAGUAAAUGGCUGUUUUUCGUUGGGAUCAUUAGCAGAUGUAUUGAAAUUAUGCAAGUCAGAGUACACGUUAAUUAGAUGUAUGGACUGCUUGGGAAUGCUCGGUACCAAUAAUCUGGCAUUUUCAUUGCUAAAAGAGUACCUCGAGGUCAGCCUCUCACAUUAUAUCUAUCAGCUGUUUAGGCAAUGGCAUAUUUUUAUUUUUAUAGUUAUUAUAAUUAUUAUUAUUUUUUAUUUUUGGGUUUCAGGCAAUGUCAAAUUCACGAUUUAGCAUUGUUGUUCCGGGAAGAGAAAUUCCAGAGUGGUUCAUGUGUCAGAAUAAUGGUUCCUCAAUAACACACGGAUGGCCUUCAUAUAAGUAUAAAAAGAAUAAGGUGUUGGAAUAUUGCAUUUGCCGUGUUUUUCGUGUCCAUAAUCAUCCACCUCCUGCCAGAGGGAGAAUACACCUCAGCACAUAUCAGUUGAAGUUCCGUACCAAAGAUGUAGGAUAUGUUAUUGAUUUUGGAAAGAAAUUCGGUCAGUGUGGGUCAUACCACUCUGGCUACUCUAUUUUUCUAUUCAAUACUGCAAUGACCAGAUUUGGCAUCUUGAAUCAGAUCUUGCUGAGUAUUGUGCAUCAAGGGCUUGAAUUAGCUCUGGAAGAAGAAGAUCCAGAGGCUUCUACAAGUUCUAUGACUGAUGAUAAGAAGACACAAAUACAGAAUCGAGCUCAUAGCACUCUAAUUUUGAGUCUUGGUGACUCAAUCUUGAGAGAGGUCUCUGAAGAGAAGACAGUCUUAGGGAUUUGGAACAAGGUUGAAACCUUGUGUAUGAAGAAGUCCCUGGCUCACAAAUUGUUCUUAAAGAAAAGGUUGUACACAUUCUCAAUGAGAGAAGGGGUUACAAUACAAGAUCACAUUGACACUUUUAACAAGAUCAUUCUUGAUCUUGAAGGGGUGGAAAAUGUAAAAAUCAGUGAUGAAGAUAAGGCAUUCUUCUUGCUGAGCUCUCUACCAAAGUCUUAUGAAGGCUUUGUAGAUACAAUGCUCUAUGGGAGAACCACUUUGACUAUUGAAGAUGUUAAAGCAUCCCUGAGUUCAAAAGAGAUUCAGAAGAACAAUGGGCUUGAAACAAGUAAUGGUGAUGGGCUAAUUGCCAGAUCAGAAAAGAAGAGAGAUCAGAAGAACAAAAAUCAAGGAAAAGGACAUGGAAAGAACCAAGAAACUGCAGAUAAGAAGAAAAAGAAGAGAAAAUGCUUCUACUGUAGGAAGGAAGGGCAUUACAUAAGGGAUUGUUUUGAGAAGAAAAAGAAGGAAAGUCAAGAGAAGUCAGGGGAUGCAGCUGUAGCCUCUGAUGAUAGUUCUGAUGGAUAUCAAAGUGCUGAUUUACUUGUGGCCUCAAACAGCAAUACUAAAGGUCAAUGGGUCAUAGACUUUGGGUGCUCUUUUCACUUAUGUCCUAACAAAACCCUAUUUUACAAAUAUGAAGCUGUUGAUGGUGGUAGAGUCUUAAUGGGAAACAAUAAUGUGUGUAAUAUUGUUGGUAUUGGUUCUGUAAAAAUCAAGAUGUUUAAUGGAACUGUAAGAUCUCUACAUGAGGUGAGGCAUGCUCCUAGGCUAAAGAGAAAUUUAAUCUCUUUAGGCAUGCUAGACAGCUUAGGGUAUAUCUUUAAAUCAAGAAGUGGUGGUUUAGAGAUAAGAAAGGGGACUGAGAUAGUGAUGAAGGGGGUUAAAGAGAAUGGCUUAUAUGUAUUGCAAGGCUCAUCAGUGCCUGUUCAAGAGGGAAUUUAUGCUGUUUCUGAGGAAGAUAGAACCAAGUUAUGGCACCUUAGGCUUGGUCAUAUGAGUAUCAAGGGGCUGCAAGAGCUUAGUAAACAAGGGCUACUUGGUGGGGAUAGAAUCCAGCAGCUGGAGUUUUGUGAAAACUGCAUUUUUGGCAAAUCACACAGGUCCAAGUUUAACUAGGGGGAGCAUAUGUCUAAACAAGUUUUGCUCAAGUCCCUUCCUCGAGUGGUGGCAGGUAUUUCAUGUCACUUAUUGAUGAUUACUCAAGGAAAGUAUGGAUCUACAUACUCAAGACCAAAGAUCAAGCCUUGGAAAAAUUCAAGGUGUGGAAAUCAUUGGUAGAAAAUCAGUAUGGCUUCAAGCUGAAAUGCUUAAGGACUGAUAAUGGCUUGGAAUUUUGUAGUAAAGAAUUUGAGGAAUAUUGCCAAAAGCAUGGCAUAAAAAGGCACAAAACAGUAAGGUUCACCCCCCAGCAGAAUGGUUUGGCUGAGAGGAUGAACAGGACCUUGGUAGAUAAAACCAAAUGUAUGUUAAUAAAUUCAAAGCUUCCAAGAAGCUUUUGGGCAGAAGCUGUCAAUACAUCAAGUUAUUUAGUUAACAGAAGCCCAUCUUUUGUAAUUGGCUUCAAAACACCAGAAGAAUUAUAGAAGGGAAAACCUGCAAACUACCAAAAUCUCAGAGUUUUUGGGUGCCUUGCUUACCUUCACAUCAAUCAAGGCAAGCUGGAUGCAAGGGCCUUAAAAGGAGUCUUUGUUGGAUAUCCUGAUGGGGUUAAGGGGUACAAAAUCUGGUGUAAGGAGCAAAAGAAGUGCAUAGUCAGCAGGGAUGUUGUGUUUCAUGAAUCUGUAUUACUGAAAGAAAGUGCAGAACAUGAUACUAGACUGCAAGAUAAUCCAGCAGCUAACAAACAAUCUGGAACUUCCAAGGUUAAGGUGGAGCUAUUGACAGAUAAAGGCAGUGAAAAAGAGGCAGCUUCUGAUGAUGAGAGGGCCACAGCUGAAAGUGAGGAACAUGAGGUAUCAGAAUUACCACAAGCUGACUUGCAGAGCUAUCAGUUAGCUAGAGAUAGAGUUAGCAGGAAAGUCAGAGCACCAGUAAGGUAUGGCUAUGCUAACUUAAUUGCCUAUGCACUAUUGUGUGCUGAUGAAGUGACAAUUGAAGAGCCUGCUAACUUCCCUGAAGCUAUGGAAAGUGUGCACUGUGACAAGUGGCUUGAGGCAAUGUAAGAUGAAAUGGAGUCACUUCAAAGAAAUCAGACCUGGACACUUAUACCAAAUCCAGGAAACAAAAGGUUGAUCAGUUGUAAGUGGAUCUUCAAGAGGAAGGAAGGAAUUCCAGAUGUUGAACCUCCCAAAUAUAAAGCAAGGCUAGUGGCUAGGGGGUUUACACAGAGGGAAGGUGUAGAUUUCAAUGAAAUUUUUUCUCCUGUAGUGAAGCACAGUUCAAUAAGAAUUUUAUUAGCCAUGGUAGCUUUACUUGACUUGGAGCUGGAGCAGAUGGAUGUAAAAACAACCUUCCUUCAUGGUAAUCUUGAAGAACAGAUAUUGAUGGAACAGCCUGAAGGUUUUGAGUGUAAGGGUAAGGAGGAUUAUGUUUGCCUGCUACAUAAGUCCUUGUAUGGACUCAAGCAAUCCCCUCGACAGUGGUACAAAAGGUUUGAUGAUUUUAUGGUCUCAAAGGGCUAUCACAGAAGCAGAUAUGAUAGCUGUGUUUACUUUGGUGGAUCAGAUCAAGCUGGAGUUGCUUAUUUGCUUCUGUAUGUUGACGAUAUGUUAAUUGCAAGCAAAUACAAGUCAGAAAUAGAGAGGUUAAAGAAUCUGUUAAAGGCUGAGUUUGAAAUGAAGGAUCUUGGCAAUGCCAAAAGAAUCCUUGGGAUGGACAUUAUCAGAGAUCUUGGCAAUGCUAAAAGAAUCCUUGGGAUGGACAUUAUCAGAGACAGAUCUGCUGGCACUUUAUUCUUGAGUCAAGAGAAAUAUAUCAAGAAAGUUCUGGAGAGGUUUGAGAUGCAAGACUGUAAACCUGUUCAGACUCCACUUAGUCCUCAAUUCAAGUUGUCAGCAGCUCUAACAUCAGAAGAUGAGUCUUAGAUGAAUGAAUUCCCAUAUGCACAGGCUGUAGGGAGCCUGAUGUAUGCAAUGGUAUGCACCAGGUCAGACAUAGCUUAUGCAAUAAGUGUUGUCAGCAGAUUUCUCAGUUGUCCAGGCAAGGUUCACUGGAAUGCUGUCAAAUGGAUAAUGAGGUAUCUAAAGGGUUCUUCUACUUGUGGUUUGCUGUAUGGGAAGACUAAGAGUGACAAAAUUGAAGUCAUGGGGUUUGUAGACUCUGGCUUUGCUGGAGAUCUUGACAGAAGAAAGUCUACAUCAGGAUAUAUGUUUGUGUUAAAUAGUUGCCUGAUUAGCUGGAAGUCAUCACUUCAGACUGUGGUUGCUUUAUCCUCAACUGAAGCUGAGUUCAUUGCAACUACAGAGGCAGUAAAGGAGGCCAUGUGGCUAAGGGGCUUGCUUAAUGAGCUAUGGUUAAAUCAGAAGACUGUUCAGGUUUUUUGUGAUAACCAAAGUGCCAUACACCUGGUAAAGAAUCAGAUGUAUCAUGAAAGAACUAAGCACAUUGAUGUGAAGCUCCAGUUUAUCAAAGAUGAAGUUAGAAAGGGUACAAUGGUUGUGUCCAAGAUCCAUACUAGUGUGAAUCCAGCUGAUGCUCUUACAAAAUCACUUCCCACUGCAAAAUUUGAGUUCUGUGUAAAUCUAAUGGGCAUCUUGCCCAAAUCUAACUAAAUUCAAAAGAUGAAUUGUAGUUGAAUGAAGGUUUUUAGGUGAUGUGUUAUUGAAGGGAUCAACUGAAUCAACUGCAAGGUGGAGAUUGUGAAAAUAUGUGUAUGUGGACUGAAAUGAAGAAACUGGAAGGUAGAGAGCUGUUGUGCAGAUUGACUUCAGUUGAUGGGGUCUAUUUGAUAUUUUUUGCUGACGUGGCAUGAAUUCGUUAUAAUUUGUUAUAACGAGCCUAGCACACUGAUAUAAAACAGAGGCUGAUGGGUGGUGCCUGAUAUCGUGUUAAUAUCGUCUUCAUUUGUUCAUCAUUUUGCAUAGAAUCUGUUCCAUUGUGAUCUGUGCAUAAUCUUCUGUAAAUCACUUGUGAUUGGGUUAGUUCUUGAUCAAUAAUAAUGAGUAAAUUUUCCUUCUAAGUUUGGAGAAACUAAAGGUUCAUAUGGAUACAAGGUCUAAUGAUGUUCGUAUGAUCGGGAUAUGGGGUAUGGGAGGUCUAGGAAAGACAACUCUUGCAAGAGUUGUUUAUGACUUGAUCUCUCACGAGUUUGAUGGGAGUAGUUUUCUAGCCGAUGUCAGAGAAAAAUGUGAUAAAGAAGGGAGUGUAAUCUCUUUGCAAAAGCAGCUUCUUUCCGAUUUACUGAAGCUUGCAGAUAAUAGCAUACGAAAUGUCUACGAUGGUAUUAACAUGCUACGAAUUAGGCUGCGACAUAAAAAGGUUCUUGUCGUAAUCGAUGAUGUGGCUCAUCCUGAUCACCUACGAAGUUUAGUUGGAGAGCCUGAUUGGUUUGGUCCAGGCAGCCAGUGUUGGGGAAAAAUCAGGUUUUUAAAUUUUUAUAAAACCUUUUGAAGAUCGCUCUCAUAUAAUAUAUAAGAAUUUGUAUUCUAGAAAUCGUACCUUGAAAAUCUGAGUUGGCUUUUUCCGCUGAAGUGAUUUAGGCUCGUAGAUCACGAUCCGCCACCACCACUCCUGUUAGAUCACGAUCCGUCACCACCACGCUUGUUAGAUCACGAACUGUCACCAAUGAUCUUCCAGGUUAUGACUCAGGUUCGAUCUUAAUUAUUAUUAUUUUUUAUUUUUGGGUUUCAGGCAAUGUCAAAUUCACGAUUUAGCAUUGUUGUUCCGGGAAGAGAAAUUCCAGAGUGGUUCAUGUGUCAGAAUAAUGGUUCCUCAAUAACACACGGAUGGCCUUCAUAUAAGUAUAAAAAGAAUAAGGUGUUGGAAUAUUGCAUUUGCCGUGUUUUUCGUGUCCAUAAUCAUCCACCUCCUGCCAGAGGGAGAAUACACCUCAGCACAUAUCAGUUGAAGUUCCGUACCAAAGAUGUAGGAUAUGUUAUUGAUUUUGGAAAGAAAUUCGGUCAGUGUGGGUCAUACCACUCUGGCUACUCUAUUUUUCUAUUCAAUACUGCAAUGACCAGAUUUGGCAUCUUGAAUCAGAUCUUGCUGAGUUGUCACUUUGGCCUGACACGGGCCCAAGAUUGGAGGUGAUAAGGUGUGGUUUCCAUCCAGUUUAUAUGCAUCCAGUGAAGGAGUACAACCGAACAGCGUACCAAUGGAAUCGUGUUACUGCUUAUAAUCUGAAUGGAUGCCAUCAGAAUUUUGAGGGAUCAAAGCCAAGUCUUAUUGAAUACGUUGGGUCGGAAGCCAGAGGAAGUGACUGCUGUGAUGAUGAGGAACAGCAACAACAGCCUAAAGAGUUAGAGAACUCGAAUAAAAUGUGAAGCUUACGUAUUAUUCUAGGGAUUUGUCAGACAGUAUGCAUUUGAACACAAUUUCAGUUUAUGAAUUUUGUCAAGAGUUGAAUUUUGCGAUUUCUCAUUAGUUGAAAAGUAAUGAAAGAGGGGAAAAAAAAAACUUACAAGACUGAAAUGAAUCCUCUGUUUUAUUAUUGAAGUUUUAUAAAUAUGGUACACAUUUAACUGAAAACCAUUAAUUUUACAACAACAGUACCUUUAUUUUAUUUGCAUCCAAGGCAUGAAAAUGACUCGCUGAGGGGUUUUGAUCUUGAAUGAGAUGAGGACUUAACUAUAAGGUAAUGACUUACAAUCUUACAUUCCCUACUGAUUGCACGAAAGAUGCCGGAGGCAGAGCUAGUUUUCGGUAUUCGGUAUACUUGAAGGGGCUGCGUAAUGAUUGAUUUAUAAAGGAAAAUAGAAUGUAAUAAUAAAUGUAAGAUUAAAAUUUUUCUAGUGGUGUUUAGAAGAUUUUCAAUGUUUAAACAGCUAAGCUAGCCUUACCAUAAGGAUCAUAUCAUAUAUUUGAUAUAAUAUCGUUUUUUUUUUCUGUUUCAUUAAUCUUAUUUUAGGUUAAAUUGUAUACAAAAUUUCCUGGAGGAUGCUCAGACGGCAGUUUUGUCAGUAAUUUAAUAAACUAAAGAAGCACAUCUUUUUCCUGAGAUAAUAACUGCCUAAACUGCUAUUUAAUAAACUAAAGAAGCACAUCUUUUUCCUGAGAUAAUAACUGCCUAAACUGCUAUUUAAUAAACUAAAGAAGCACAUCUUUUUCCUGAGAUAAUAACUGCCUAAACUGCUAUUUAAUAAACUAAAGAAGCACAUCUUUUUCCUGAGAUAAUAACUGCCUAAACUGCUAUUUAAUAAACUAAAGAAGCACAUCUUUUUCCUGAGAUAAUAACUGCCUAAACUGCUAUUUAAUAAACUAAAGAAGCACAUCUUUUUCCUGAGAUAAUAACUGCCUAAACUGCUAUUUAAUAAACUAAAGAAGCACAUCUUUUUCCUGAGAUAAUAACUGCCUAAACUGCUAUUUAAUAAACUAAAGAAGCACAUCUUUUUCCUGAGAUAAUAACUGCCUAAACUGCUAUUUAAUAAACUAAAGAAGCACAUCUUUUUCCUGAGAUAAUAACUGCCUAAACUGCUAUUUAAUAAACUAAAGAAGCACAUCUUUUUCCUGAGAUAAUAACUGCCUAAACUGCUAUUUAAUAAACUAAAGAAGCACAUCUUUUUCCUGAGAUAAUAACUGCCUAAACUGCUAUUUAAUAAACUAAAGAAGCACAUCUUUUUCCUGAGAUAAUAACUGCCUAAACUGCUAUUUAAUAAACUAAAGAAGCACAUCUUUUUCCUGAGAUAAUAACUGCCUAAACUGCUAUUUAAUAAACUAAAGAAGCACAUCUUUUUCCUGAGAUAAUAACUGCCUAAACUGCUAUUUAAUAAACUAAAGAAGCACAUCUUUUUCCUGAGAUAAUAACUGCCUAAACUGCUAUUUAAUAAACUAAAGAAGCACAUCUUUUUCCUGAGAUAAUAACUGCCUAAACUGCUAUUUAAUAAACUAAAGAAGCACAUCUUUUUCCUGAGAUAAUAACUGCCUAAACUGCUAUUUAAUAAACUAAAGAAGCACAUCUUUUUCCUGAGAUAAUAACUGCCUAAACUGCUAUUUAAUAAACUAAAGAAGCACAUCUUUUUCCUGAGAUAAUAACUGCCUAAACUGCUAUUUAAUAAACUAAAGAAGCACAUCUUUUUCCUGAGAUAAUAACUGCCUAAACUGCUAUUUAAUAAACUAAAGAAGCACAUCUUUUUCCUGAGAUAAUAACUGCCUAAACUGCUAUUUAAUAAACUAAAGAAGCACAUCUUUUUCCUGAGAUAAUAACUGCCUAAACUGCUAUUUAAUAAACUAAAGAAGCACAUCUUUUUCCUGAGAUAAUAACUGCCUAAACUGCUAUUUAAUAAACUAAAGAAGCACAUCUUUUUCCUGAGAUAAUAACUGCCUAAACUGCUAUUUAAUAAACUAAAGAAGCACAUCUUUUUCCUGAGAUAAUAACUGCCUAAACUGCUAUUUAAUAAACUAAAGAAGCACAUCUUUUUCCUGAGAUAAUAACUGCCUAAACUGCUAUUUAAUAAACUAAAGAAGCACAUCUUUUUCCUGAGAUAAUAACUGCCUAAACUGCUAUUUAAUAAACUAAAGAAGCACAUCUUUUUCCUGAGAUAAUAACUGCCUAAACUGCUAUUUAAUAAACUAAAGAAGCACAUCUUUUUCCUGAGAUAAUAACUGCCUAAACUGCUAUUUAAUAAACUAAAGAAGCACAUCUUUUUCCUGAGAUAAUAACUGCCUAAACUGCUAUUUAAUAAACUAAAGAAGCACAUCUUUUUCCUGAGAUAAUAACUGCCUAAACUGCUAUUUAAUAAACUAAAGAAGCACAUCUUUUUCCUGAGAUAAUAACUGCCUAAACUGCUAUUUAAUAAACUAAAGAAGCACAUCUUUUUCCUGAGAUAAUAACUGCCUAAACUGCUAUUUAAUAAACUAAAGAAGCACAUCUUUUUCCUGAGAUAAUAACUGCCUAAACUGCUAUUUAAUAAACUAAAGAAGCACAUCUUUGGUAUCUUUGACUAUGUCUUUGAUUCCAUUCUCCACCGUCGACCAUAGUCACUCUUUAUAAUUAUCUUUUGCAAAAACUUUUGAGGAGAACUUGCAGCCGAAAAAUGAAGGAAUUAAUUAGAAGGCAUGAAACCCUCUUGUUGAUUUCUUUGAAACAACCUUAAUUGGAAUCCAAAGUAAAGAAAGUUAGCGAAAUUACAAAAUUGCUAAGGUACUUUACAAAAUUCAUGAUUUCCAAGCAUUGACAGAUAAUGCAUUAACUAAUACAGAAAUGAUCAAAUUACAAGCCUCACAGGUUGCUAUGUUUCUCUUGAAGGAUGACUCAAAUUCGUUAUGUUUGUUAAUGCAUUAACUUACAACUUCUGAAGUUUGUAACCAAGGAUGCCUAAAACCAAUUAUUUCUAAGAAAAAUGGACAGUUUUUUAAAGGAAUUUAGAUCUAUCACAAAUAGAUGUAGGCAAUUAAAAACAAAAAAUUAACAACUUAAUUAAUUUUUCGGAAGUACUGUUUACCGUUACUGUUUGCUGCAACUGUUCACAGUUACUGUUUACGAUUAUUGUUCAUCUGCAUAAAAAUAUUAAUUUUCCAAAAACACAAUAAAAAGCAGAAAAUAAAUGACACAGAGAUUUUUAUGUGGUUCAGAUUAAUCAAUCCUACAUCCACGAGGCCACGCCCAGAUGAAAAGCUAUUCACUAAGUUGAGAUAUUACAACCUAUGGAUUUACCAAACUUAAGACUCUCAUUUACAAUUUAUCACCAUACAGUUUACUUAACCUUAGACUGAAUUUGGUUCUUCUGAAUAAUUGCUACCCCUCUUGAUCCACCAUCCUCAAGGCAUUCUUCAAUUCUUCUACGUCCAGUGAUCCAAGAUCCACACAGAUUCUUCACGGAGAUGAAAAGAAGAUAAGAAAACAAAUCAACACAACAUUAUGCGUCAAAUCUGGAUUCUCUAGGGAGGAGGCCGAAUUUUGCUUCUUUGCUUUAUGCUCUGUGUUGUGCAUAUCUUCAAUUGUGAAAUACUUCUCUUUAUAUAAGCACUAGGGUUUUACCAAAAUAGCAAGUCUUAAAAGACUUGGAUUCGUUCCAAAAAAGAGUUUAUUUCCUCUUAUAAUUCCCAUGAAUCUGAAUAGGAAUAAAUCUUAUCUUUUUGCCUUGCUUUCUCCCAAGAAAUAUCUAGAGCAUUUAAUGAACUUCCUGUUUGAACCAACUUCUUACUCUAAAUAGAUCUCAUGCGCCAAGUAUAGAAUCCCACCAUUAAUUGACUUGCUAAAUAAGACAUCUAAUUAAAUUAGGAAACAUAUAUUCCUAAUAAAUUGGAAUAUCACUAAAUUAGGGAAUUAAUAAAUUAAUCCCUAUUAUAAGAUACGCAAUAAAUAAACUUCCAAUUUAACUAGACUUAACAUAAAAUGCCAACUCUAUAAAUAAUGACCUUAAUAGCUUUAAACCUUUCUUCUCAAGCUUUAAGCAACUUCAAAGAAAAAUGUCAAACCUUCAACCCUUACUUUCCAAUCUUUACUUAUUUUAAUGAGAAAAACGUCAAUGCUAAUUCGCAUGUCUUGAUGUUUAAUUAAUUAUUAGUAUCAACCGUUGGAUUCCAUUCCAUUUAAUGGAAUCCAAUGGUUUCAACAUGGGUAUUGGACAGAGUGGCGAAGCCGCUUAAUCAAUUAUUUGAAAUCUUAUAACAAUUUAAUAGAAAGAUUUACUAAAUGCAUACGACUCUGCUGUACCGUACAUCCGCCUUGGCCGUACAGCAGCUUUAUGAUACAUCUAUUGCCACAAUUUUUUUUCACGUAGAAAAUUCAAUUAAAUUAAUUUAAUAUUGUCCUGGCUCAAACAUGCUGCCGCUUUGCUUGUAGUGCGGAUUUUCGGCUCCUUCAAUUUGCUGGUAGUGUACUUUUUCGUUUGCUGAUUAUGAUUAUUUAGGAGCAAAACUUAUAACAUUUAAUUCGAAAAGAAAAAUUUUAGGAACUUAAGUAAGAGGCUGUUGAAUCAAUUGCUUGCAACAGGAGCAUUCUGCAGGGAGUUUCUCCAUAUGUUCUGUCCCCCGCAAACAUUUCACAAACCAUUUGCGUGUUGCUUUGGAACAAAAGGGAGUUACCCCUCUUGAUCCACCAUCCUCAAGGCAUUCUUCAAUUCUUCUACGUCCAGUGAUCCAAGAUCCACACAGAUUCUUCACGGAGAUGAAAAGAAGAUAAGAAAACAAAUCAACACAACAUUAUGCGUCAAAUCUGGAUUCUCUAGGGAGGAGGCCGAAUUUUGCUUCUUUGCUUUAUGCUCUGUGUUGUGCAUAUCUUCAAUUGUGAAAUACUUCUCUUUAUAUAAGCACUAGGGUUUUACCAAAAUAGCAAGUCUUAAAAGACUUGGAUUCGUUCCAAAAAAGAGUUUAUUUCCUCUUAUAAUUCCCAUGAAUCUGAAUAGGAAUAAAUCUUAUCUUUUUGCCUUGCUUUCUCCCAAGAAAUAUCUAGAGCAUUUAAUGAACUUCCUGUUUGAACCAACUUCUUACUCUAAAUAGAUCUCAUGCGCCAAGUAUAGAAUCCCACCAUUAAUUGACUUGCUAAAUAAGACAUCUAAUUAAAUUAGGAAACAUAUAUUCCUAAUAAAUUGGAAUAUCACUAAAUUAGGGAAUUAAUAAAUUAAUCCCUAUUAUAAGAUACGCAAUAAAUAAACUUCCAAUUUAACUAGACUUGGCAUAAAAUGCCAACUCUAUAAAUAAUGACCUUCACAGCUUUAAACCUUUCUUCUCAAGCUUUAAGCAACUUCAAAGAAAAAUGUCAAACCUUCAACCCUUACUUUCCAAUCUUUACUUAUUUUAAUGAGAAAAACGUCAAUGCUAAUUCGCAUGUCUUGAUGUUUAAUUAAUUAUUAGUAUCAACCGUUGGAUUCCAUUCCAUUUAAUGGAAUCCAAUGGUUUCAACAUGGGUAUUGGACAGAGUGGCGAAGCCGCUUAAUCAAUUAUUUGAAAUCUUAUAACAAUUUAAUAGAAAGAUUUACUAAAUGCAUACGACUCUGCUGUACCGUACAUCCGCCUUGGCCGUACAGCAGCUUUAUGAUACAUCUAUUGCCACAAUUUUUUUUCACGUAGAAAAUUCAAUUAAAUUAAUUUAAUAUUGUCCUGGCUCAAACAUGCUGCCGCUUUGCUUGUAGUGCGGAUUUUCGGCUCCUUCAAUUUGCUGGUAGUGUACUUUUUCGUUUGCUGAUUAUGAUUAUUUAGGAGCAAAACUUAUAACAUUUAAUUCGAAAAGAAAAAUUUUAGGAACUUAAGUAAGAGGCUGUUGAAUCAAUUGCUUGCAACAGGAGCAUUCUGCAGGGAGUUUCUCCAUAUGUUCUGUCCCCCGCAAACAUUUCACAAACCAUUUGCGUGUUGCUUUGGAACAAAAGGGAGUCGUUGUAUUUAGGGACGACCAGGAACUCGAGAGAGGAAAAGUAAUUUCACCAGGACUACUUACAGUAAUUGAAGAAUGAAGAAUUUUAAUAAUUGUUUUCUCAAGAAACUAUGCGUCUUCCACUUGGUGCUUGAAGAACCAAGAAUUUCAAUAAUAUCUUUCAUAAAUUUGAAGUCAGAAAACAACUAAAUCAUCUUAAAAAGAAAAAAAAAUUAUAAUUUACACUUUUAAAAACAAUUAGAUCAAAUCUCUUCAUUGGCAGCUAACAACAUCAAUUCCAUAUCCAAGUCAGCAAGUUUGGAAAGGUCCAUCCGCCGCUUGGAUUGCUGAAUCGCUCUUUUGGAUAUCUGCAAUACACUCAAAAGCUGUAAGUUCUAUCUUAUACAUCUCUCUCUUUUAUUUUUCAGAAUUAAUUUGUAGAUCUUGAUGUUUAAAAAUAAAAAAAAUAAAUAAAUCGAAAGAAAUCUUUGAAUGUUAAUUUUGUGCAAACUCUUUGCCUUUUCUUAGUUAGAUACUCUAAUCGAGAUUUGCUUAAGUAGAAAUGGGCGUGCACACUCUCCAAUCAGCAUGUGCGAAAAAAUUUCUAUUACAUUCUGAAAUGAGAGGCUGAUGGAUUAUCUGUUUAGUUCGUUUAACAGAAUAAGAUCAUUAGUUUUGAAAUCAUAACCAGUCUCAAGUUUAGUAACUUUUUACGUUAGUGAACUCUGACUUUAGUAUAUAUUUACGCACAAUUUAUUGUCAGUUAUAUUUAAUCAAAUUCGCUCAUACCAUCAAGGUUAUAAAGAAAAGAAAAAGUGCGAGUUAUAAAUGUUUGUCCUCUUUUAGGUGGUUGAAAAAGAAAAUGGAAAAUUCCUAGUUUUUGUCAAUUUUUCUAUCAAAAUUUCUUUGCAUAUAUAUAAUCUCGAUGAUUAGUUAUAACCUUAAAACUUUUAAUUCUUUCUAGUGAUAUUUAUUUAACUCUAAUAAUUUCUUUUAACAUGAAGUUAUUGUAAAUUAGUCUGUUAUAAAACAAAACACAAGACCUAGGUGAAAGGACAUCAUGAAAGUUGAAAUUCAUUGGGCACGGAUUAAGCAAUAUCUUGUAAUCAAAUGUUUACUUUUAUUAUAUAAAAACUAUUUCAAUAUUUAUUUCUCAUUUUUAUUAAAAUAAUAUAUUAUAAUUUUUGUUAUAAAUUUAAAUUACAUAUUUAAAUAAAAUAUUAAUAUUCAAUAUUAAUAAGUAUUAUAAUAUUUUUUUAUUUUUAUUAUGUAAAAGAAUUAUAAUCAAUUAAAUUUUAUUUUUACGUAAGCUUAUUAUUUACUUAAAUAAAAAGUACUACUUUAUUAAUAAGCUUCUAAUUUUUAUUAAUAAUGAGAAAUAAUAAAUUUAAUAUCAAUAAUAGUAUAAAGAAAUUAAAUAAACAAUACCUUUGCGUAAUACACUAAACAUCAUUUAAUGGAAUCCAAUGGUUUCAACAUGGGUAUUGGACAGAGUGGCGAAGCCGCUUAAUUAGUUAUUUGAAAUCUUAUAACAAUUUAAUAGAAAGAUUUACUAAAUGCAUACGACUAUUUUUAAAACUCACAAAACUUUUGAAAAUAAAUUUAUCAAACAUCUAAUUAAUUAUCUUUACAGAUGAUUAUUUAUAUCACACAGUUAAUGAUAAUUAUUUUAAAACUACAACAUUAUUAAAUUGAUCCAACAUCUCCUAAGGACUCGAACGAAGUUUUACUAAUAAAAGGUUUCUAAUAAAAGGUUUACCAUUCCUAUAGAUUGCCGGCAAUUUAACUAUUUUUAUCAAUUAUUGAUAUCAACCAUUGGAUUCCAUUCCAUUUUAAUGAAAUCCAAUGGUUUCAACGUGGCUAAUGGGUAGAGUGAUGAAGACGCGUAAUCAAUUGGAAAGCCAGAUAAUUUCCGUUUAGAUUCCUUGAAGCUUCCGGGAAGUUUGAUGGUAACUUCAUCAUGAGAGUAGACAGUGACAGUAUUUAUUAACUCUUUCACCAAGACUUGCUUUUGGAAAUAUAAUACAACAACACAACUGAGUGAGCAGCGAGGGAAAUUUAACUGACUGAUUGCUUAAUUUUUUCCAAAAGAAUAUAUUUGCUUGAUUAAAUCCUUUGAAUCAAAUACUGCAGUGGAGUUCGUCUAACUAGCUUUCUGCAAUACACUCAAAAGCUGUAAGUUCUAUCUUAUACAUCUCUCUCUUUUAUUUUUCAGAAUUAAUUUGUAGAUCUUGAUGUUUAAAAAAUAAAUAAAUAAAUAAAUCGAUAGAAAUCUUUGAAUGUUAAUUUUGUGCAAACUCUUUGCCUUUUCUUAGUUAGAUACUCUAAUCGAGAUUUGCUUAAGUAGAAAUGGGCGUGCACACUCUCCAAUCAGCAUGUGCGAAAAAAUUUCUAUUACAUUCUGAAAUGAGAGGCUGAUGGAUUAUCUGUUUAGUUCGUUUAACAGAAUAAGAUCAUUAGUUUUGAAAUCAUAACCAGUCUCAAGUUUAGUAACUUUUUACGUUAGUGAACUCUGACUUUAGUAUAUAUUUACGCACAAUUUAUUGUCAGUUAUAUUUAAUCAAAUUCGCUCAUACCAUCAAGGUUAUAAAGAAAAGAAAAAGUGCGAGUUAUAAAUGUUUGUCCUCUUUUAGGUGGUUGAAAAAGAAAAUGGAAAAUUCCUAGUUUUUGUCAAUUUUUCUAUCAAAAUUUCUUUGCAUAUAUAUAAUCUCGAUGAUUAGUUAUAACCUUAAAACUUUUAAUUCUUUCUAGUGAUAUUUAUUUAACUCUAAUAAUUUCUUUUAACAUGAAGUUAUUGUAAAUUAGUCUGUUAUAAAACAAAACACAAGACCUAGGUGAAAGGACAUCAUGAAAGUUGAAAUUCAUUGGGCACGGAUUAAGCAAUAUCUUGUAAUCAAAUGUUUACUUUUAUUAUAUAAAAACUAUUUCAAUAUUUAUUUCUCAUUUUUAUUAAAAUAAUAUAUUAUAAUUUUUGUUUUAAAUUUAAAUUACAUAUUUAAAUAAAAUAUUAAUAUUCAAUAUUAAUAAGUAUUAUAAUAUUUUUUUAUUUUUAUUAUGUAAAAGAAUUAUAAUCAAUUAAAUUUUAUUUUUACGUAAGCUUAUUAUUUACUUAAAUAAAAAGUACUACUUUAUUAAUAAGCUUCUAAUUUUUAUUAAUAAUGAGAAAUAAUAAAUUUAAUAUCAAUAAUAGUAUAAAGAAAUUAAAUAAACAAUACCUUUGCGUAAUACACUAAACAUGUCAUAACUUAAUGCAAUGCCAUUCAAUAUAGCUUAAGCAAUAUAAUGUGAUGCACUAAACACCAUAAGUUUGUUAUUUGCACAGUAUUGUUUCUAGGAUUUCACUUGAUUUAUUCUAAAUUUUCAGGAACAAAUUGAUAGACAAUGGCUUCUAUGAGCAUCCAAAAUGUGUCUCACGAGAAAUAUGAUGUCUUCUUAAGCUUUAGAGGAGAAGACACUCGUAAAAGUUUCACGAAUCAUCUCUAUGCUGCGUUGAAAAAUAAAGGCAUUUAUGUAUUCAGGGAUGACAAAGAACUUGAGAAAGGAGGAUCCAUUUCACCUGGACUCCUUAAAGUAAUUGAAGAAUCAAGAAUUUCAGUUAUUGUUCUUUCCAAAAACUAUGCUUCUUCCACUUGGUGCUUAGAUGAACUUGUUAAGAUUGUUGAAUGCAAAAACAGAGAAAAUCAAAUUCUUCCAAUUUUCUAUGACGUGGAACCAACUGUGGUAAGGAAACAGACAGUAAGUUUUGGAGAAGCUUUUGCUAAACACGUAGAAGCUUUUAGGAAUAAUGUAGAAAAGGUGCAGAAGUGGAGAGACGCUUUAAAAGUGGUGGCCAAUAAAUCUGGCUGGGAAUUGAAGGAUGGGUAAUCAUUCUUAUUCUUUAUUAUUAAUUCUUUUUUUGUUUUGGUUUUGCAUUAUUAGUAACUACGAAACAAAUUUUAAUAUUCAUGAUUCAACACUGUUUUCAAUUACAAUAGUAAUACUGUUAAUGAAUUAAUAUUUGCAAACGAAGACUAUAUAAUAUGUUCUGAUGCUUUGUGCUCUAUUAAUCAGAUUUAAAAAAUAAAAAUGAAACUUUAUUCUUAGAUUGACUAUCGAGCUAGAUUGCUAAAUACUACUAAUAGCAAUGACAACAGUCGCAACACCAAUCAUAUAUCAAUAUCAUUACCUAUUUAGCUAAUCUGAUCAAUUUCAUGUGUGUAAUAAAUGAUCUUGUCAAAAACUAAUCUAAAAUCUCUUUCAAUCUAAUUUACACUGUUACAGAGAGAAAUAAUAUACCAAUAAUAUUGGGAAAAAAAGCAGCAGAAGAAAUUAAAUAAUUUUUUAAUCCAAAAUCCACAAUGCAACCCAAUCCAGACCAAUUUUUUUGGGUCGGGUCAUUCCAACUGUUUCUUACUUAACUAUAACAUGUCACUUAAUUAUAUGACUUCAAUUUGAUGAAAUGAAUAUUGCAUAGUUGGGAUUUUAUUCAUAAUAUGGAAUUGCUUUGUUACUACGUUCAUACUUACUUUAAUUUAACAACACCAAUCUUUUCUUGUUGUUUUCAAUCUGCAGCAAUGAGUCAGAAUUUAUUGAGGAAAUUGUCAAUGUCAUAUCAAGCAAAAUUCGUACAGAACUAAAGAUUCCUAAGGAGCUAGUUGGAAUAGAAUCACGCUUGGAGAAACUAAAGGUUCAUAUGGAUACAAGGUCUAAUGAUGUUCGUAUGAUCGGGAUAUGGGGUAUGGGAGGUCUAGGAAAGACAACUCUUGCAAGAGUUGUUUAUGACUUGAUCUCUCACGAGUUUGAUGGGAGUAGUUUUCUAGCCGAUGUCAGAGAAAAAUGUGAUAAAGAAGGGAGUGUAAUCUCUUUGCAAAAGCAGCUUCUUUCCGAUUUACUGAAGCUUGCAGAUAAUAGCAUACGAAAUGUCUACGAUGGUAUUAACAUGCUACGAAUUAGGCUGCGACGUAAAAAGGUUCUUGUCGUAAUCGAUGAUGUGGCUCAUCCUGAUCACCUACGAAGUUUAGUUGGAGAGCCUGAUUGGUUUGGUCCAGGCAGCCAGAUCAUAAUAACAACGAGGAAUGAACAUUUGCUGAAGUUGCAUCGAGUCAGGAAAGUUUAUAAGCUUGAGGCACUGACUUAUGAUGAGGCAUUUCGACUACUUUGUUUGAAAGCCUUUGAUACCCAUAAGCCUUUCGAAGAAUAUGUAGAGCUAGCUGAAAGCGUAGUAAAGUAUGCCAGUGGUCUUCCAUUAGCUCUCAAGGUUUUGGGUUCAUUUUUGUUUGGUAGAGCUGUUCAUGAAUGGACAAGUGCCCUAAAAAGGAUAAAAAGAGAUCCCGAAUAUGAGAUUCUAAGUAUACUCCAAAUAAGUUUUGAUGGGCUGAAAGAAGUAGAGAAGAAAAUAUUUCUCGAUGUUGUGUGUUUCUUUAAAGGGCGAAAGAGAGAUUAUGUAUCGAAAAUUCUCAAAAAGUUGUGAUUUUGACCCAGUUAUUGGAAUUGCUGUUCUUAUUGAAAAAUCUUUAUUAACAGUAGAUGGUGCCAACAGACUGUGGACGCAUGAUUUGUUACAAGAAAUGGGUCGACAAAUUGUUAGGAGACAAUCCCUCGAGGAGCCAGGAAAACGUAGCAGAUUGUGGGAGGAAGCAGACAUAUGCCAUGUAUUGUCACAAAACACAGUAAGUAACUAAUAAAGAGGAUAAAAAAUUAUUUAUUUUCCAGCUCUGCUCACUUCCUUUUUGCUAGUUAAAUCUCUAACGAACGACUUUGUUUAUAAUUUUUAGGGACGUGAAGCAGUUGAGGGAAUAAUAGUUGAUCAUUAUUACUUCCUCAAAGAUAAUGUGAAUUUAAAUGCAAGUGCUAAAGCAUUUUCGCAGAUGACCAACCUAAGAUUGCUUAAAAUCAGUAACGUGCAACUUCCUGAAGGCCUUGGAUACCUUUCAAGCAAGUUGCGGUUACUUGAUUGGCAUGGAUAUCCUUUGAAAUCUUUGCCAUUGAAUUUGCAAUUGGAUAAAGCUGUUGAAUUUAGUAUGUGUUAUAGCUGCAUUGAGGAAUUGUGGACGGGAAUCAAAGUAAGAUCAAUAUUUAUGUCACUUAUCUAUGUUUUUUUAGUGAAUAACUGUUGAUAACAAUUUCACUGUUAUAGCUAUAUAUAUAUAUAUUAAGAAAUAUCAUUUUAGCUCCUUUUUAUUUUCAACAGCCUUUAAACAUGUUGAAAGUCAUGAAACUCAGCCAUUCAGAGAAUCUGAUUAAGACACCAAACUUCACAGAGGUCCCAAAUUUGGAGGAGUUGGAUCUUGAAGGAUGUACAAGAUUGCGUGAUAUUCACCCAUCUUUGUUGCUUCAUAAUAAGCUGAUUUUGUUGAACUUGAAAGGUUGUACAAGUCUUACAACUCUUCCGGGUGAGAUAUUUAUGAAAUCGCUAAAACACUUGUUCUUUCUGGUUGCUUUGAAAUUGAGGAAAUUUCCACGCGUUGCGGGAAGUAUGGAGUGUCUGCGGGAACUUCUUUUGGAUGAAACUGAUAUCAAAGAAAUCCCACGAUCAAUUGGACAUCUAUCUGGACUUGUUCAGUUGACUUUGAAAGGCUGCCAAAAUCUCUCGAGUUUACCAGUUACUAUAAGCAGUUUAAAACGUCUAAGAAAUCUAGAGCUCUCUGGUUGCUCGAAACUGAAGAAUUUUCCACAGAUUGUGACGAGUAUGGAAGAUCUAUCCGAGCUCUAUCUGGAUGGAACUUCCAUUACAGAAGUGCCAUCAUCUAUUGAACUUUUGACCGGACUUGAAUUGUUGACUUUGAAAGGCUGCAAAAAUCUCACAAGACUAUCCAGUAGUAUAAAUGGUUUGAAGUCCCUCAAAACUUUGAAUCUCUCAGGCUGCUCCAAACUUGAAAAUGUGCUGGAGACGCUCGGGCAAGUAGAAAGUUCGGAGCAACUUGAUAAAAGUGGAACAACUAUAAAGCGCCCUUCAUCCAACAUUUUUCUUAUGAAGAAUUUUAAAGCUCUAUCUUUCUGUGGGUGCAAUGGAUCCCCAUCAUCUACAUCAUGGCAUUUGCACGUUCCUUUCAAUUUGAUGGGAAAAAUUUCAUGUCCCGCAGCUUUGAUGUUGCCUUCUUUGUCAGGUUUGUGCUCUUUAGAAAAAUUAGAUCUCAGUGACUGUUGUCUAGGAGAAGGAGCAAUCCCGACUGAUAUUGGCAACUUAUGCUUAUUAAAAGAGUUGUGUCUGAGUGGAAACAAUUUUGUUACGCUGCCAGCAAGCAUUAACAGUCUUUUAAAUCUUGAAGAACUAAAGUUGGAAGAUUGUAAAAGGCUUCAAUCUUUGCCACAACUUCCACCCAACGUAGAGAAAGUUAGAGUGAAUGGUUGUGCUUCGUUGGUGACAUUAUUAGGUGCAUUAAAACUACGCAAGUCCGACAAGACAAUAAUUGAUUGUAUGGAUAGCUUGAAAUUGCUCAGAAAGAACGGUUUGGCAAUUUCAAUGCUACGAGAGUACCUUGAGGUUAGUCUCUCACUUCGUAUUUUCCAGCUAUGCCAGGAUUAUGCCUAACAAUUAAGCAAUGGUAUGGACUUGUUCAUUUUUUUUUUUGGUUGCAGGCAGUGUCAGCUCCAAGCCAUAAAUUCCAUAAAUUUAGCAUUGUUGUUCCAGGAAGUGAAAUUCCAAAGUGGUUCAUUUAUCAGAAUGAGGGUUCUUCAAUAACAGUCACAAGGCCUUCAUAUUUGUAUAAUAUGAAUAAGGUUGUGGGAUGUGCCAUUUGCUGUGUGUUUCAUGUCCCUAAACAUUCAACUGGUAACAGAAGACGGAGGCAUUCAGAUCCCACACAUGAGUUGCUCUCCUCUAUGGAUGGUUCUAGUGUCAGUCAUUUCAUAGAUUUUAGAGAGAAAUUCGGUCAUCGUGGGUCUGACCAUCUUUGGCUGCUCUAUUUUCCUCGUCAAAGCUCCUAUUAUAGUAUGUGGCAUUUUGAAUCUAAUCAUUUUAAGUUGUCAUUUAUUGAUGCACGAGACAAAGUCGGUCUGGCUGGGUCAGGUACUGGAUUGAAGGUGAAGAGGUGUGGCUUUCAUCCAGUUUAUAUGCACGAAGUUGAGGGGUUGGACCAAACAACAAAGCAGUGGACUCACUUUGCUUCUUAUAAUCUGUAUGAAUCCGAUCACGAUUUUGUUGAAUCAAAUAUGGAAGUAGCCACAACAUCAAAGCGAAGCCUUGCAGAAAAUGCUGGGGCAGCUGAUGCCAGUGGCAGUGACUGUUGUGAUGAUGUUGAAAAACCACUUCCUAAAAUUUGUGAUUUCUCAUGAUCGAAAAUUAAUCAUCUGUUUUGUAUUAUUACUUAUGCCUCUGUUUCAUUGCAGUAUUCUCUCAUUUCGUAUCCAUUAUUUCAAGUGCGAGUUUUUGGGUUCACUUGAAGGGGCUGAGGACUGGGGUAAUAAUUGAUGAAUUGCAUACCAAUUGCUAUGAGUGAACAAUAAAAUAAGAAUCUCAUUGCAAUCUGGUUAUAUAUAUAUAUAUAUAUAUUCACUCUUUUGGCAUAUAGUUUCGAUUGUUCUAGUUGAGUAGGCCAGCUAAACUUAAUCUAAAUUAUACAGCACUUGAAGCUGAUAUGGAUUUUUGCUUGUUGAGAUUCUUACUGAAUUUGUGUAGAUUUUACUUAGAAUAAUACUAGCGCCUUCUGAGUAAACAUUACAAACUAAAGCAAUUUUAAGUCUGACAAAAAGCUGCGAACUAAAGUAAUUGUACAAAUUAUAACAAUUUGCAGAGAAAAAUGAAAUUGAAUGACAAAUGUACUUUGAUGAACUAAAAUUAUCAUUUAUAUAUAAAGAUCAUAUCAUUUAUUUUUUUGUAUGAGGAUCAUAUCACAUAUUUGACCAAAAAGAUUUUUGGCGAAAAAAUUAUUGUUCAUGGUCUUCUUCAGUGUAAACAUUUGAGAUUCUCAUCCCUUUUAUUUUGAUGUUGGAAAUUUUUUUGGGCAUUCAUGAAUUUGUUGAACUUAACUGUGCUUAUUUAAUUUGGGUUUCCUGACUUUUGUUGAGUUGUGUUGAUUCUUUUUACGUUGCAUUAUUGAUGCCUCUCUGACCUUUGCAUAAAACCUUUCUAUUAUUAUUUUCUUUUCUAGUUAUUCUUACUUUUAAUUCUAAAAAAUGACCUUUUUUAAUCACUCAUCUAAUUUUUAAUAUUAUUUUCUUAUCGAACAUGAGGUCUAGACUGCUAAACUUUUUUAAGAUUUUAGCUUAGGUCCUGGAUUCGAGUUUUAAUGGAUGUGUGAAUUAAAUUUAAAAAUGUCUUUUAUUUGCACGAGUUAAUCUAAAAAAUGUCUUUUAUUAUUUCUUUCCACACAGUUGGAUUAUUGCCACCCUUCUAAUAUUCUCAUAAGACCUUUUUUUUUUUGUUAUUCUUACUUUUAAUUCCGAAAAUGUCCCCUUUUUUAAUACACUCUUCUAAUCUUUUUUUUUUUAACAUUCUUAUUAAUUUGAAAUCUAUUCUACACGCGAAUUAAAAAGUUUUAUCGUUGAUGAAUUUUUCAAUGUUAAUCAUUGACUUAAACUAAAAAUGCUUUAAAUUAUAAUUUUGACUUAAAUUACACAGAUUUGAGAUUAUUAUUUGAAAGUAAUAUGAAAUUAAAAAAAUGUUCAACUAAUAAGAAUUAGAAAAAGAAUAAUAGAAUAUUUUGAAUCUAAGCAAAUUUAUUUUUGAUACAUCAGAAGUCAUUAGAUAAAAAACAAAAAAAAAAUGGAUUGAUUAUGAAUACAAGUAAUUUUUGGGGAAACAAGAUCUAAGUGAUUGCUAAUUCUUAUUUAUCCUUAAAUAUAGUUUUAUUUGAAACGAGGUUUUUUUAAGGACAAAGGGUUGCUCAUUAGGGAUGGUAGAAAAUUCUGGAUCCUGCCUGCAUCCGCAAAGAUCAAGAAGAUCCACCUCCGGAAAAAUCUGGAUCUGCAUGUUAAAAAAUAUGGAUCUGACCAAGAUCUAUACUUAUUCGGAUCCGGAUGUAAGUGCAUCCAAAGAACUGAGUAUCCGAGUCUGUAUUAUUUUAUAAUUAAAUUAUUUAUUUAAUUAAAUUUCAAUUGAAAAACAUAUAAGUUAAAUUAUUUAUUUAAUAUGUACAAGCAUUAUUAACUCUAUAAUCUUCAUUGACUAUGAAAAAUAUGUUAAAAAUUAAAAUAAUAAUAAUAAUAAUUGGAGAAUAUAGUAAUGAAUCGGUUUACCUUAGUUUUUAUUUUUAUUUUUUAGUUUGCAUGAGUUACAGACGAAAUUAGAAAAGAGUUACAAACAAAUGGAGAUAUAUACAUGAAGAAUAACCUAGAUGUUUGGGUUGGAUUUUUCUAGUAGUGUCUCAAAAUAUUAGUCGAUCCUAAUCUACUCAGAACUUAUUGUUGUUGAGCUGGCCUCGUAAGUAUAACCUGGAGCCUAUGUUGGCAACCUGGUUUACAAGUAUGACCUAAGAUCUAUGUGAAUGACCUAGUUUAAGAAUACAACCUCAACGCUAUAUGAGCGACUGAGAAAUUCAUCUGUUUGAUCUGAAAGUGAAGUAAUCCGACCUUGAAAUUCUCUUGUCCGACCUGAGAAUUAGCUUAACAUGGAAAAUUGCUAGUUAAGAGAACGUGGCCUAAUUUAUAGGGAAGUUGUGUGCCACGAUCUAUUUAAACCACCUCCAACUGACAACCACUUGCAACUACUGAAGAAAGCGGGCUGAAGUUAAGGAGGUAACCGUACACGACGAAUAGUCUAUUUAAACUGAAGAGCACAUCAGGUGAGGGGGUUAGUAAAAAUGAACCAAAAACUCUAUAAGUGACCUAUCUAAGAGCCUUAACGGGGCUGACCAGAUUUUUAGUUCCUUUAUCGGAAAAUUCCUUUCUUUUGAACCCAUUCACAAUUCUUCCCUCUCAUUUUUAUCUCUUUAUACACAAUUUCUGACUUAAGCAUCGGAGGGUCUGCGCCGGAACCCCACCGGCGUAUCCUAACCGUGUUUUCUGGCUGACAGGUACAGAAAAUUCUGGUCAUAUUGGCGUUUGAGCUUGGAUUCGUGCUGUAGUUCCCCUAAAGAAACAAAUUCAGCUGUUGAGGUUAUUUUUCGACAUCAACAUCUUGGCACCAUCUGUGGGAAUCGGUGCGAAAAGCCAUACGUUUGAAAAUUUAGAAGGAAGAGGCUAUCAGAUUAUGAAAUAGCGAUGGAUGACAACGAUGGAGAUAGGCAGACCUUGCGCCAAUUGGUAGAGGAAAUGAAUGUCACAGCAGAUAAGAGAUGGAGAGAAGGGAUCGAGAGGUAAAUGGCAAAAUUUGAGGAGAUGAUCAGGGGGCUGGUUAAUGCCCAAGUUAGAGGGGCUCAAGUUCGAGCUAGUGACCCAGAGAGUAGUGGAGCGCGAGAGAGGGAAGAGCUUAGUGGUGAACAGCAGAGCGGAAUGGGACUACCACAAGUUGGGGUACGACAAGAGAAUAGAAGUGCAGGAGAACAAGUGAAUGAGUUGAGAGGGAGAAUCAAUGACUUGAAUCAAGAAAGGGAGAGGGAAGAGCUGAGAGACCCCCACCGGGCAAAUGAGCUUGAGCAGCGAAUGAUGCAAUUUCAAAAAACUUUAGAGGCAUUAGAGGCGAAAAUAGAGGGCAAGAAAAUGGUAGGAAGUUUAUUUCUUGAUGACGAGUCCCCUUUGGUACGUGAAGUGAUGGCGGUAACUUUGCCACCCAAGUAUGUGGUUCCAGCUUUGGUGUAUGAAGGCAAAACUGACCUGAAUCAUCACGUGGAGAAGUUUAAUGAGAUGACCGGGAUCCAAGGCUUGAACGAUUUUCAAAGGUGCCAUGUUUUUCCUUUAACCUUAGAAGGACAAGCACGGGAGUGGUAUCAGAGAUUAAAGAAGGGAAGCAUAGGAAAUUUCAAGGAGUUAUGUGAGCUUUUCGCUGUGCGUUUUAGAGGUUCAUGCAUACCAAAGCAAGAUACGAGCAGGUUGAAAAAAUUGGUCCAAGGAGAAUUUGAAAGCUUGAGGAGUUUUGUGACCAGAUAUCAUAAGGAGGUUAUUGAUCUAGGGGCCUUUGAUCAUCCAGAUGCUCUGGAGGGAUUAAAGAAGGGGUUGAGAAUCAAUCGAUUGUGGAAUAGCUUAUAUAGUAAGGGGAUAACAGCAUAUGUUAAGGCGUAUGACCAGGCAAAAUUGGACAUGAAAACUGAAGAUGCAGAGGAAGAAAAGAGGAGAAUGGAAAUGCAGACUGUUGGGGAAAAAUCAGGUUUUUAAAUUUUUAUAAAACCUUUUGAAAAUCGCUCUCAUAUAAUAUAUAAGAAUUUGUAUUCUAGAAAUCGUACCUUGAAAAUCUAAGUUGGCUUUUUCCGCUGAAGUGAUUUAGGCUCGUAGAUCAUGAUCCGCCACGACCACUCCUGUUAGAUCAUGAUCCGUCACCACCACGCUUGUUAGAUCACGAACUGUCACCAAUGAUCUUCCAGGUUAUGACUCAGGUUCGAUCUGCACUUGACGUGUGGGCGCCGUUAUCACUACCAAAGCAACUAGCACGAGAAAAUUUUUCUCUCAACAAUAGAGAGAAAAAUCUUAUUCUCUGAUCUGUAUAAAGUGGCUUCCCCCAUUUUUCUUUAGAGAAAAAUAAGCCUUUUAUAUCACCCUUUAGUGAAAACCCUAGGCUCCAAAUAAUCAAAAAACAAAACCCACGUUAUUUUCUUUUUCAAUAGGGGACCCACCUUGUAAAAUAACAUAAGGCCCCUUAUACAAAAGCUAAUUAAAUGGAGCCUCCCACUAAAUGAUAUAUUUAGGCUUUUGACCCAAAUAGCUAGUUAUCUUACUUAUUAGUCCAGUAGUGGUGCAGUCAAUUAAAUGAGCUAACCCGGGGAUCAUUUGGGAACAUACAAUAGUGGCUACAAUAAUUAGGCCUGUAAUUAAACUAGCCCAAUUAUUUAAUUCCAAAUCUACUCCACUAAAAGAUUAGAACUGACUUCCAUAAUUGUAUGCUCGAAUAACAAUUCGUCCCAAGCCACAUUAAUUUCUUUACUGCACAAUCCUUUGUACCACAUCGUCUGCUGUACCGUACAUCCGCCUUGGCCGUACAGCAGUGCGCUUGUAGUGAAGGUUGUCUUGGCAGGGCAGGAAUUGAACCGAGCUUUUGUAGAUGUGGGAAGCUCGGUCGACAUUUUAUUUAAGCAAACUCUGGACGAUCUAUAAAUAGGAGACCUCAGGCUUGAUCCGGUCAGAACAUCACUAAAGAGGUUUAGUGGAGCUGAGCUGAUUCCCCUUGGGUUGAUUGACUUGCCACUGACAAUAGGGUCUAGCCCACUACAAAAGGCAAUGAUGGUGACAUGGUUGGUAGUUGAUGAGCUAAGCCCUUAUCAAGUUAUUUUGGGCAGACCAUUCAAUAGGAUAGCAGGAGCAGUGAGCUCAACCCAUAUGUAAUGUGUGAAGUUUAGAGUUCAAGGUGGAGUUGGAGUGAUGAGGGGCCAGCAACAAGUGGCUCGAAGUUGUUACGCUACAGCUGUGAGAGAAUCCAUGCAGAUCACAAGUAUCGAUCUACGAGCUGAAAAUAGGUUGUGCCAACAGCGACCUAAUGAAAAAAUGAAACAAGUGCCGGUAAGUGAGGUUGAUCCGAGCAGAGUGAUAAGAGUGGGAACAAAAAUGAUAGAUGACAUCUCCAAUGAGCUUCAGAUUUAUUGAUGGAGUUCUAGGGCCGAGCUGGGAAGGACCAUAUAAAGUGCUACACUCAUUUGGUAAUGGGGCAUAUAAGUUAGGUUAUCAGGAUGGCAGGGUCGUUGGCAAGACAUGGAAUGCAAAGCACCUGCGAAAUACUAUCAGCUAAGAUAUAUCUUAUUUAUGAUAUUUUUGUUUGUUUGUUUUCUUUAAAUAUGCUAAGAAAGUUUGUUUCUUUGUUAUUUCAAUUUGUUAUGUGUUCAAUUCUGUAACUUCUGCUAUAUUAAUAUCAAUGAGGUUAUUUAGAAGUGCAACUUUAUUUCUUAUCUACUUGUGACCGGUCUUAUUUGAGUUCGAGAUCGACAUUUGGACCUUAUUAAGGUCCAACAUGAAAAAAAAAAUUAUCCAGUCUUAUUGAGAUUGAGAUUGAGAUUGGCAUUUUUGGACCUUAUUGAGGUCCAACGUGAAAAAAAUUAUCCAAUUUUAUUGAGAUUGAUAUCGACAUUGCGACCUUGUUGAAGUCCAACGUGAAAAAGUUACCUAAUCUUAUUGAGAUUGAGAUCAUCAUUUUUGGAUCGUAUUGAGGUCCAACAUGAAAACAUUUUUCUAAUCUUAUUGAGAUUGAUAUCGACAUUGCGACCUUGUUGAGGUCUAACGUGAAAGAGUUAUCCAAUCUUAUUGAGAUUGAGAUUGACAUUUUUGGACCGUAUUGAGGUCCAACGUGAAAAGAUUUAUCCAAUUUUAUUGAGAUUGAUAUCGAUAUUGCAACCUUGCUGAGGUUCAACGUGAAAAUGUUAUCCAAUCUUAUUGAGAUUGAGAUCGACAUGGCAGCCUUAUUGAGGUCCAACGUGAAAAAAAUUAUCCAAUCUUAUUGAGAUUGAGAUCGACAUGGCAGCCUUAUUGAGGUCCAACGUGAAAAAAAUUAUCCAAUCUUAUUGAGAUUGAGAUCGACAUUGCAGCCUUAUUGAGGUACUACCUGAAAAAUUUAUCCAAUCUAAUUGAAAUUGAGAUCGACAUUUCAGCUUUGUUGAGGUCCUACUUGAAAAAUUCAUCCAAUCUUAUUAAGAUUGAGAUCGACAUUGCGGCCUUGUUGAGGUCCUACCUGAAAAAUUUAUCAAGUUUUAUUGAGAUUGAGAUCGACAUUGCGGCCUUGUUGAGGUCCUACCUAAAAAAAUUAUCAAAUCUUAUUGAGAUUGAGAUUGGCAUUUUUGGACCUUAUUGAGGUCCAACGUGAAAAAAUUUAUUCAAUCUUAUUGAGAUUGAUAUCGACAUUGCGACCUUGUUGAGGUCCAACGUGAAAACGUUAUCCAAUCUUAUUGAGAUUGAGAUCGACAUGGCAGCCUUAUUGAGGUCCAACGUGAAAAAAAUUAUCCAAUCUUAUUGAGAUUGAGAUCGACAUUGCAGCCUUAUUGAGGUACUACCUGAAAAAUUUAUCCAAUCUUAUUGAAAUUGAGAUCGACAUUUCAGCUUUGUUGAGGUCCUACUUGAAAAAUUCAUCCAAUCUUAUUAAGAUUGAGAUCGACAUUGCGGCCUUGUUGAGGUCCUACCUGAAAAAUUUGUCCAAUCUUAUUGAGAUUGAGAUCGACAUUACGGCCUUGUUGAGGUCCUACCUAAAAAAUUUAUCAAAUCUUAUUAAGAUUGAGGUUGUCAUUUUGACCUUGUUGAGGUCUAAUUGUAAUUCGACCAUGUUGAGAUUGAAGACGGCUAUUAUCUUGUGGUUAGACAACUUUAACUUUUAUCUUGUUGAGAUCUACAUUUUUCAAUUUUAUCGAAAUUGGCUUUUACCUUAUUUAGGUCGACCAUUGCCUUAUUGAGGUCAACCAUAAGAUAAGUUCUACAAUUUUCUAUUUAUUGAGGUUGGCCAUUGCCUCGUGGAGUUUGGCCAUAGCCUUAACAUUUACGUUCUACAAUGUUCAAUUUUGUUGAGGUCGGCCAUUGCCUUAAUGAGGUCAGCCAUAAGAUAAGUUCUACAAUUUUCUAUUUAUUGAGGUUGGCCAUUGCCUCAUGGAGUUUGGCCAUAGCCUUAAUAUUUACGUUCUACAAUGUUCUAUUUUGUUGAGGUCGGCCAUAGGCUUAACAUUAAGUUGCCCAAUUUCAAUUUUAUUGAGGUCGGCCAUUGCCUUGUUGAGGUCAAUCAUAAGCUUAACAUUUAAAUUCUCUAAUUUUCAAUUUUGUUGAGGUCGAUCAUAAGCUUAACAUUUAAGUUCUCCAAUUUUCAAUUUUUUUUAGGUCGGCAUUUUAGCUUUACAUUUUAACCUUAUUGCGUUCAACACUCUAUCUUGUUGAGGUUGACAUUUUCUUGAGUUUGACAUUUUUUGUGAGGUUGACAUUUUCCUUGUCGUGAGAUCGUGAGGUCGGCGUUUUAGCUUUACACUUAACCUUGUUGAGGUCGACAAUAUAUCUUGUUAAGGUUGACAUUUUCGUGAGGUCAACAGUCUACGGAAUGCAAGUCAUAGCCAACCCCAGUAAAUAAAGAGUAAAAAAGGCAAGGUCAGCAUAAUAAUUAUCUGACUAUAAAGGCAAAAUAAAGUUCAGUAGCAUACGGUCUACACAAGUGUAUAUUGCAAAAAGGGGCAAGCAUUUUAAUAAUUAAAUUUAGGAAGUUCUCUCUUGGUCUUUAACAACCCUACUAGUUAGGGACACCUCACCCUCAACCCUGACCCUAUCACCUCGAGGCAUUUGGUCAUGGUUAUUUUCUUGGUCCACACCUGAAGGUUUCUUCUUACCCUUCUCUUUGCUCAUUGUUUCGCUCUACACCGUCUUUCUUUUGCUUGCGGCCAUAUUGCUCUUUCUUAAUUAUUUUAGUUUCCAAUACCGUUCAUAUCUUCUCAGUAUUGAAAACUAGGGGACUGGUAAGGGUUUUGAGAAAAUUUUUCUAUUAGUUUCUAACACCAGCAAUGACUUUCCGGUAUUGAAAACUAGGGGACUGGUGUUUCAGUUGGAUUUUUCUAGUAGUGUCUCAAAAUAUAGUCGAUCCUAAUCUACUCAGAACUUAUUGUUGUUGAGUUGGCCUCAUAAGUACAACCUGAAGCCUAUGUUGGCAACCUGGUUUAUAAGUACGACGUAAGAUCUAUGUGAAUGAUCUAGUUUAAGAAUACAACCUCAACGCUAUAUGAGCAACUGAGAAAUUCAUCUGUCUGAUCUGAAAAUGAAGUAAUCCGACCUUGAAAUUCUCUUGUCCGACCUGAGAAUUAGCUUGACAUGAAAAAUUGCUAGUUAAGAGAACGUGGCCUAAUUUAUAGGGAAGUUGUGUGCCACGAUCUAUUUAAACCACCUCCAACUGACAACCAUUUGCAACUGCUGAAGAAAGCGGGCUCAAGUUAAGGAGGUAACCAUAUACGACGAAGAGUCUAUUUAAACUAAAGAGCGCAUCAGGUGAGGGAGUUAGCAAAAAUGAACCAAAAACUCUAUAAGUGACCUAUCUAAGAGCUUUAACAGGGCUGGCCAAAUUUUUAGUUCCUUUAUCAGAAAAUUCCUUUCUUUUGAAACCAUUCAUAAUUCUUCCCUCUCAUUUUUAUCUCCUUAUACACAAUUUCUUACUUAAGCAUCGGAAGGUCUGCGUCUGAACCCCACCGGGGUAUCCUAACCGUGUUUUCUGGUUGACAGGUACAGAAAAUUGCGGUCAUAUUGGCGUUUGAGCUUGGAUUCGUGCUGUAGUUCCCCUAAAGAAACAAAUUCAGCUGUUGAGGUCGCUUUUUGGCAUCAACACUAGAGAUUAAUCAAACAGAAGUUAUGAUUUUAUCACUUCCGUUUUGUAGACAUAUAUUACGUAAUUUUUUGACACUACUUUACGUUCACGCUAGCUUUAGCUCACCAACACAAAUCUUUUCUUGCUCAGUUCCACCCGCAGGAAUGAAUCGAACUUUAUUAUGGAGAUUAUCAAUGAGAUAUCAAGCAAAAUUCCUUUAAAAUCAGAGACUCUGAAGGAGCUAGUAGGAAUAGAUUCACACUUGGAGAAGCUAACGUUUCUUAUGGAUCAAGAGCCUAAUGAUGUUCGUGUGAUAAGGAACAACAAUUAGGCAUCUACAUCAUAAGAUUUUUGCUUCCUUACCAAUAAUAUGAUGUGAAGGAGUUCAGAUCCCAUGACUAAUAUGAUGUUACCUUCUCUAUCAGGCUUGUGUUCUUUAACAAAAUGGGAAGCCUCAAGAGAAAUCCCAAGUGAUAUUUGCUAUUUAUGGCUAUUGUUCAAUAACGAACUAGAAUCUAAUUCCCAGACCAGAUGCAAUGUCGGCUAAAUAAUAAAUGAUAGUAUGAACUAAUGUUUCUUUGCAUACGAUCUCUCGGUUGCCCCCCAGAGGAGUUGUGUACGACGUCCAAGGUCGUCUAAACUUAGUGAGUGAGUGCACGCGUUGGUCACGUGCACUCUUUUAAUGAUCAAACGACUCCAAAUGAUUGUCGUUUUGACGAGCAUUAGUGUCAUUAUAUGGCUGUGAAAUCGGUUAGAAAGGGCGGGAAAUUAUUACAAAUGCCGAUGACCGAUGAGGUAUCUUGCAUGAUGUCAUCAUGGCUGUAUAUAAAGCCUCAUAUGCUAGGGUUAGGUCCAUUCAUGUAGCUUGUAAUCUUCUCUCUAAAUUUCUAAGUUGUUCUCAGAAAACAAAUAAAGCAUGCUGAAGAAGGCAUAGGCCAAACCUUAGUGAUU
rnacentral:lncRNA from 1 species